CGGGACGAAGGAGACAAACGCAGUCACCAGGCAAGGCCCUUUCUCCGUCUUCUUGUCCUUUUCUUCCCUGCGGGGCGCACCGCGCCGGCCGUAAGGGGGCGCGGAACCUCAGGGCCGCCUUGGGGAGCCGCGCGCNNNNNNNNNNNNNNNNNNNNNNNNNNNNNNNNNNNNNNNNNNNNNNNNNNNNNNNNNNNNNNNNNNNNNNNNNNNNNNNNNNNNNNNNNNNNNNNNNNNNNNNNNNNNNNNNNNNNNNNNNNNNNNNNNNNNNNNNNNNNNNNNNNNNNNNNNNNNNNNNNNNNNNNNNNNNNNNNNNNNNNNNNNNNNNNNNNNNNNNNNNNNNNNNNNNNNNNNNNNNNNNNNNNNNNNNNNNNNNNNNNNNNNNNNNNNNNNNNNNNNNNNNNNNNNNNNNNNNNNNNNNNNNNNNNNNNNNNNNNNNNNNNNNNNNNNNNNNNNNNNNNNNNNCGUUCGCGACUGUCCCGCGCUGCCGCCGCCUCCACCUGUGUCUGGAGCCCCGGACGCACCCGGUCGACCGGAUGGUGCUUCAGUCAGCCCAGACCUGCCUCUGGGAGGAAGGCUGACCGGGCCUCCCGCCGGGCCACAUCUGUCUCCGGCACCCCCGGGUGUGGCCGGGAUAACGGGGACUGUGACCCGAGCGACAGAAGCUGCAGGGGCGCGCAGUGACCACAAGGGGGCGUGUGGAGACUCCAAAAGGGCAAUGGUCGCUGGUACCAGAGUGGUUCUUUGAGGCCCCAGUCGGCCACAGUGACCGGGCAAGCACGGUAUCGCUUUGGACCAGCUCCUUCCCCGCUGCUCGCUCGGAAAAUCCCCAAGAGUGCUCUGAACACAAGAGAUGAAUAUUCCUCUGUAAAAUGAGGCCAUCCUGCCUCCCAUCCAGGGUCAGGGCAGGGGUAAACGAGCUGGUGUCAGGGCACCGGCCCCUGGACUGAAAACUUUCUCUCUGCCCUUUUAGAUUUCUGUGGUUUCUUGCUGCCCCCUUGACUGGAUGCAGCAAAUGGCUGUUGCCUGGGACAGCUGGGCCUGGAGUCCUGGCUUCCUGCCGAAAAGGGAGCAGCGGAGAAUUGGGCUCUGGCUUCCGGCUGGGCUGGUGGAUGACCCCUCAGGUGCGUGCCUUAAAUUAGGUGCUGCGUUUACACACAAAAGGCCCCCUACGGUUGUGCCAAGCCCCAGGCCCUCUCUCUUUCCUACUUGUUGGGGCUAAAGCCCGUGUCGUACCCACCAUUUUAGAUCCUCAGGAAGCUGACAUCCCCCAGCCAUAAGUAUGAGCGUUUGCCAUUUGAUUGAAAAUUGCAGUUUUCUGGUGGUUUAUAGCUCAGGUUUUGAAAGCAAGAAAGUGAAUCUGCCUGUAAAUAGCUUGCUCAAAAUUGUUCUCUCCUGCCUGUUUUCUCUUUGGCUCUUACUCCUUUGGCACAAGGAACACAGCAAGGCUGGGCUGAUUUUUCAGUCCACAGCUACAGGGGGGACAAGAAAAGAAUGUUGGUGUCCCCAAGGUCAGUGUGUUGUCUGUCUCAGGUCCUGGGCUGUGGUGUGACCAGAGCACCUUUGUCUUAUCAACUGAAAGGAAAAAAAAAAAAAGGCAAAACUGAAAAAGAACAAAGGCCUUUAUUUUGGGUCUCAGAAUUGCAGUUUGGGGAGCAGAGAGUCUGGAGUAACCAGAAAAGUGCUCAUGGGGGGAAAGCAAGGAUUUUUUUUUUUUUUAAGAGAAAGAAGGAAGGAGCAAUGACAUGAUUUCGAUAAAGAAGAGAAGAAAAAACCCCUUCUAAUUUGGUGCUGACUGGUUAAGCCACUUCUGAUUACUGUUAUUGAUUAUUUUAUUAUCGGUGCUAUCAAAUGAAACUAUCCCUGGUAUUAAUUAACAUUACCUACUUCACAUGACCCAAAUGCCAGUUGCUCUGUUGAAAUUUUUUUUUAAUGUUUAUUUAUCUUGAGAGAGAGAGAGAGAGCACGCGAGCAGGGGAGGGGCAGAGAGAGACAGGGAGACAGAGAAUCUGAAGGAAGCUCCAGGCCCUGAGUUGUCAGCACAGAGCCCGAUGCGGGGCUCAAACUCAUGAGUAGUGAGAUCAUGACCUGAGCCGAAAUCGAGAGUCGGAUGCUUAACUGACACCCAGGCGUCUGACUGUGUUGAAAUGUUAUGAGCAACUGCUUGUAAAGCUAUUGCCGCUUCUGGGCCAGUUCAAGAGUUCAUUAGCUGGAAAAGAAAACGGAGCUUCAAAAUGGAGUCUCCUAUGCCCAGAAAUUUUAUACAAUUCCACAGUCUCUGGCUGUACCUAAAAUGAGGGCCCAAAGUGAAUCUGCCUUGGUUUAGAAAUUGGAUCUGGUUAUUCAAAACAAUUCUGAAUUACUAGAUGUGGAGGUAGCCUUGGGACCUUAGGUCUUACUUAACGUCUGCUUCUUCCUCGGUGAGCAACGGUCCUGGUGGAGAGAAGGGCAGAUGUGGAGAGAAGGGCAGAUGUGCAGCCUCUGAGGUGGCCAGCUCCUACGCUCAUCUUUAUGGUUGGCUUGGAGGAGUUGGCUUGGCCAAGGUCCGGCUGAGAGGUGAUCUGAAAGGGCCUGGGCUAGAAGAUGUGGGCAGGGAGUGCCGGCCACACCCAACAGUAGAUACAAAUGGGUCGGCCGUGCCUUGGUCUUGACCAAAAUGCCCGACCGGCUUGCCACUGUUUGACCGGUAUGUGUGACUCAUAGCAGUUUCCCCGCUAGCGUAAAACCACGUUUCAGUCAACUUCACCGCCCACUGUCCAUGCAGGGCCCUCGCCUCCAUCCCCGCAGCAUGGCUGGCCUCUCCUGAGCUUCACUCAGCGUGCUGUCGUGUAAGAGUGGUCCUGGUGGUCCUGGCUCUGCCUCCACACCUUGUCAGUAUGAGGCUGCCCUGGCCUGGGAAAUGGGACACUGCUCUCUUUCCUGCUAUUCCCUGCAGGUGGGAAGCUUUUUCUGUUCAUGCCCAGCAAUGCGGCUGAGAUCAGGCUGACAUAUUGAAUAGGGCUGUACUGGAGGCCCGGACAAGUGGAGGGCAGUGAGAUACACUGCCGUAUCCCUCCACGAGAUAUGGUGGCUCUUUAGGGUCACCAGACUGUCCUUGGGAGCAUGGGCCUCCGUGCAGAGUUGUGACGGUCGUCCUCUUUCUUCCAAAGAGAGGGCCCUCUCUGCCUUUGCUGCACCCAGGCCUUGAAGCAGGAGAGAGAGUGGAGACUUGAACUCACCUUUGGGACAGACCUUACUCUGUCCCCAGGCUCAGUGAGGAAAGGAAAUGCCAUUUUACUGCAGCUUGGGACUCAGAUCCUCUCAUUUCCUGUGCGUGGAUCUGCUUUCCCAGGACAUCUGACAGAGAGGUUGCUCAUCCAGUUCUGGAGAGGGCCGGCAGCCCCUGGGCAGAGUGGCCCUGCAGGAUGGGCACCGCAGGGCCAUAGCUCACCGAGCCGAGUGGCCGUAUCUGUGUAUGGAGGACGUCAAGAGCACAGCCCCUCAGCAUCAGGUGAAGCUCACGUUUGCCCAGAACAUCCACAUUCAGGUUCCUGGUGGCUGCCCACUUCCCCUUGGGAUCACGUAUGGGCCUUGGCCGCACACAAGGUGGUUUUUUUCAGAAGAAGGCAAAACGGCCUCAGGGGUGGAUUUCAGUACUGACUCCUCCUUUGGACACAAACUGCCUGGAGCCUUGGGGUGUAGCUUAUCUGGAGCUUAAAGCUUCCAGGCUCAGGUCCUGGCUGGUGCACCCCGUGUGGUGCUGUGCUCGUGUCUGUCCCUGCUUCCCCACACCAGCUCUUUGAAAGCUCUCCAUUCCCUUCAACCUCCUACUGUAUCACCUGCUCUCUGUUCUUGGCUGCUGCCCUAAUUUUGGGAGAAAAUAGAACCACCCCCCUCAGCUUCCAUCCGUGUAACUACACAGGUAGGAGUAGUGGCUCCCAGCCUCUGCCCCCUUUCUCCUGUCAUCCUGGAGGAGGUCUGCUGCCCCAACAAACCUGGCUCCCCCAUAUUCAGACUGAUGGCUGUGGAAGGCAGCCUUUAAAAAGUCUCUGGUUCUGUCUUGCCCUCUCUUGGUCCUUCACUUGCUUGCUAUCCUAGAAGCUGGCUGCCAUGUUGUGAGCUGCCCAAUGGAGAGGCUCACAAAGCAAGAACAGAUUUCCUCAGUCCAACAGCCUGAGAGGAACUGAGUCCUGCCACGAGCCAUGUGAGUCAGCCUGGAAGUGAACCCUCCCUCAGUCAAGCCUUCGGAUGAGAUUACAGUCCCAGCAGAUACCUUGAUUGAAAUAUUCUGAGCCAGAGGGCCCAGUGAAGCCCAUCCAGAUUCCUAGCUCACAGGAAUUAUCAAAUAAUAAGUGUCUAUUACUAUAAACUGCUAAAUUUUGGAGUAAUUUAUAUAUAACUAUAGAUAAUGCACAGGCUUGUCAGAUUUUCAGCCCUGAACAUUUUGAAAAAAAUUUGGGAUGCACAUAAGGUUGCCACUUUUUAUUUUUCAAAAUAUGUCUUGAAAAAUAACAACAAAGUUUUACUUUUCUUAAUAUUUUUUAUUAAAAAAGGAGCACUUUUUCAUUUUAAUUGUUUUUUUUUAUCACAGUGUUAUUUACAUACAAUUCAUUCACUUAAAAAAUUAACCGACUAAGCCACCAGGCACCCCAGUUUUUUAAAAAUAAAUAUAAUACAGUACUGUAAAUGAAGUUUCUCAUGAUUUUCUUAACAUUUUUCUCCAGCUUUAUUAUAAGAAUACAGUAUAUAAUACAUACACAAAAUAUGUGUUACUUGAUUGUUUACAUUAUCAGUAAGGCUUCUGGACAUCAGUAGGCUAUUAGUAGUUAAGUUUUAAGGGAGUAAACAUUAUAUGUAGAUUUUUUGUGUGUGCAGGGGGUCGGCACCCCACUCCCCAGUGUUGUUCAAGGGUCAGCUAUAUAUGUACAAUAUAAUAGUAAUACAUCUUUUUAAAAAAUAUUUAUUUUGAGAGAGAGAGUGUGUUCACAAGCAGGGGAGGGGCAGAGAGGGAGGGAGAAAGAGAAUCUCAAGUGGGGCUUGAUCCCACGAACCACAAGAUCAUGACCAGAGCCAAAAUCAAGAGUCAGAUGCUCAACCAACUGAGUCACCCAGGCGCCCCAGAAUAAAUCUUGAAAAGGAAUGAAAUUCUGAUCAUGCUACAACAUGAAUGAACCUUAAGACGUUAUGUUAAGUGAAAUUAAGACACAAAGGAUAAAUAUUACAUGAGUCCACUUAUGUGAAGAUCCUAGAAUAGGCAAAUUCGUACAGACAGAAGGUAGAAUAGGACUGAGUAGUUAUUAAGGGCAAGGGAGAGGGAGGGGUGGUGAGUUAUUAUUUCAUGGGCACAGAGCUUCAGUUUUGCAAGCUGAAAAGAGUUCUGCAGAUGGAUGUGGUGAUGAUUGCAAAACAGUGUGGAUAUGCUUAAUGCCAUUGAAUUGUCCUCUUAAAAAUGGUUAAAAUGGUAAAUUUCAUGUUGUGUAUAUAUUACCACAAUAAAAAAAAGUCCUUUUCUCCAGUUUUGAGCUCCCAUGACUUCAAGACCCGUUUCUUCAGGUGCUGGGUGUUUUUUAAUUUGGAGAUCUCACCUCCAAAAUCUGCUCAGAACUGAACUCCUGAGGUCCCAUGCUGGGCUCUAAGUUUUAGCCCUGUGGGAACACACUCAUAAGUUUAGUCACUAACCUGCAAAGCCAGGACAGAAGGGACUGGAGCUCCCUGCCUCCUCUAUGACCCUUGGCUCCUUCAGGCCAGCCCAGAUGACUUCCCUUCCAACAGACAGACAUUCAAACAAGCACUCAAACAGCAUCUUCCUCUUUACUUUCUGGUGAGUUCCUCCUUGGAGCCCUUGGUGUCUUUCCCCAAUUUGAUCUUCAGAGACAACCAUCCUGUCCAUGUCACCAGGUUUGGGACAAGCCAGCUGGGCUCUCCUCUGGCACUCGGCACUCCCUUUUUCCAGAAUGCUGCCUGUCACAGAAUGUCAGAGAGGGGGAAAGCCUUGUCAAGCCUCCAAGAGUUCUGGCACACCCUGUCCUCAGGACCAGGGGCUUACCUGGGAUGUGAUGGGUCAGCUGGCACCUGUCUUGGUCAGCUCUCAUGCCCACACCUGCUGUUAGACGUAUUGAAUAUACCCCACCUGAGUCUGCAGGUACCUGUUCUCUGGAAACAGGUGGUUCUCUGCCUCCUGUGAGAAGGAAGAUUUUCUCCAAAGGGAUGUGCAGCGUCUGCCUAGAUGUGAAAGAGUCAGCAUACGUCAGCAUAAUGUAAAGCUCCCAGCUUCCCCCAUCCUCUUCUACACACGUAAGUUAAUUCUCAAGUUGGACAAUCUGAAAACUGUGCACUAACUUUACUGGGAGACACGCUAAUUAGCAGUGAGUUUGGGGGAAAAGAUUUAGCUUCAGGGGACAUUUCUAGUUGUAUGUGAUUGUAUCAGCUCAGGGACACAUAUGAUCUCGUUAAUAACCACCGAAGACCUGAUUGGAGAGUGGAUUUGUUAUCUGUUGCUGUGUAACAACUGACCCCCAAAUUUAGUGGCGAAAAACAAGACCCACAGUUUUUGUGGGUCAAGAAUGGCUCGAAUGGGUCCUCAGGCUCAGGGCCCCACAAGCUUCAGUCAAGGUCUCAGCUGGGGCCAGAGGCACCUCUGGGCUCAGUUGGGCAGGAUCUUCUUCCAAGUGCACUCCGUGGUGGUUGGCAGGAUUUAGCUCAUUGAUCAGCCAGAGGCCACCAGAAGGUCCUUGCCAUGUGGGUCUCUCUGAGGGGCAGUGCAUAGUGUAGCAGCUGGCUUCGUCAGGGCGAGCAAGCUAGAGGAGCCAGAGAAAGUGUGAGCAAGACAAAAUACAAUCUCAGAAGUGACAUCUCAUCACUUUCCCAUUAUUUUCUCCUAAUUAGAAGUAUGAGGGGUGCCUGGGUGGCUCAGUCAGUUAAACGUCUGACUUCAACUCAGGUCAUGAUCUCGUGGUUCAUGGGUUCGAGCCCCGCAUCGGGCGUGACAUUGACAGUGCUGAGCCUGCUUGGGAUUCUCUCUCUCUGCCCCUCCCCCACUCGUGCUUUCUCUCUCAAAAUAACUAAACACAAACUUUAAAACGAAACAAAGCAAACAACAAAAAAGAAGUAUGAAAAUGUGGUCCAGCCUACGUUUGAGGGGAGGGGCUACAGCAGAGCACCAAUUCCAGGCGGUGGGGGUCAUGGGGAGCCAUUUUAGAAGCUGCCCACCACAGAGCUCAGGGUAUUUCAUCUUGCAGGGAACUUCGAUGGAUCAGUGAAGCCAAUGAAGGACUAGGCGGAUAAAUAAGCUGACAAAUCUUUGAAUAGCUCUCCCCGGUUCUCUGCAGCUAUCUCUCCCACUAGCAUCAAGUUCAGUGUUUUUAAAACACAGAUGGUGUCGUUGCAUACAGGUUGGAAGGACAAGGUCCUCCUUGGACUUUUAAGAAGUAGAGCACGCUUGUUCCCAAGCUGACUUUCCUCUCCUUGUCUGACUCGCUCCCCGUGGUUUGGCUAUGCUCUGUGGUUUGUUUGCAUGGCUGGGCAGGAAGAUGGCUCAACCCGCCUAGGCUUCUAGGCAGCAUAGAGCCCUGGCAGGGCUGAUUUCAAAGUGAAUCAUCAGUCAAAAUAAGCCAUAGCCAAUGUAAGGAGCAGAAACCCAUGUCUUUGCUACAGAUGCACCACGACAGACCGUUCUCUCUGCCUUUGCACGAGCUCUUCCCCAUCUGAAAUGUCCUUUCCACCUUGUCCAUCCAUCCUUCUAGGUGUUCCUUCAUGAAACUUCCUGAUAUUCCCUGUCCACAUAGCUUCUCCCAUCUCUUCCCAAAGUUCUAGAGCAGCUCACAUCCAUGCCCCCAGUUUAGCUCCUGGUUACAUCCUGCCUUGUGAUGUUCUUUAUUUUCUGAGUGGGCCUCGUACCCUGCCUCCAAUGAGAUGUCAGCUUCCCCACGGCAAGAACUGCUGUCCGAUUCCUUCAGACCCGCACUGGUACCCCACCCAGGGUGGAGCUCAGGGACAUUUGAGGGCAGAGGUCCUGUCAGGUCUCAUAUGUUGAGCCUCCCCAAGCUCCUUGCACUGCACCUGUCCGCUGCAGGCUUUCCCUGAACUAAUGUAAAUUUGAUGUGUCUGUGACAUCUGCAGGGAUGGCACCUGUUACUGAGGAGGGUGAGGGACAGGACUGUUUUCUCCCUCAGGCAGCAGUGCUGUGGGCAGAACUCGUUUCCAUUCCACACUGCUCCUUUCACACAUCCUUGACCACAGGGUCCCUGUGAUGUGGGCACUUGUGGGGCAUCUCGGUCAGACUUGCUGUCCUGAGGGCCUGGGGGUGCGCUGCCCUCGUGGCGAUGCCCAGUCUGGAGAAAUCUCUCCGACUGGGAAAGGAAAUCUGGAUCUUUAUUUCUGGGCAAGCAAAUCCCGCCUCCCCCAACAUUCCUGCCUUUUGGAAAGGGUGGUUGUUUUUCUGCUUUGAAGGAAGCAGAGGGAAAUGUGUGUAAGAGCUGCAGGGAGGUGGGGCCUUGGGGUUGGGCCAAAGCAGUCUGGGUGCAGUGGUGCAGACCUAAGAGUUGGCCUCUUGUUGGGGCGCCUGGGUGGCUCAGUCGGUUAAGCGUCCGACUUCAGCUCAGGUCACGAUCUCGCGGUCUGUGAGUUCGAGCCCCGCGUCGGGCUCUGGGCUGAUGGCUCAGAGCCUGGAGCCUGCUUCCGAUUCUGUGUCUCCCUCUCUCUCUGCCCCUCCCCCGUUCAUGCUCUGUCUCUCUCUGUCUCUAAAAAUAAAUGAACAUUAAAAAAAUUAAAAAAAAAAAAAAAAAAAAAGAGUUGGCCUCUUGCAAGUUUCAUUCCGUGGAUUCUGUCCCCAGCUCUGCACUUCCAACUCAAGGGAUAAGACCUAAUGUGUCCUAGUGUCUAGUCCUGUUCCCUAGUCACCGGGGACAGGAGGCUGUGUGCUCCUUCUGGUGGAACCCUGGUCUCCUGGGACUGUGAUUGGUUGUGGGGGGUGGGCUGAGCUGGGGAGCAGUGUUCCUCAAGUUCUCCCGGGACCAGCACUUAAUAACCAGCAUUUACUGGGCACCCACUGUGCUCCCUGCUUUGGGAUGGUGGACUGGAAACACGCAGUCAGAGAUGCUGGGUCCUUGCUCUGGCGGUGUUAUGCCCAGAAUUCGUGAUCCCCCAAAACCGCCAGGGAGCUGAGUCCGAUGUAAAAGCAAAAGAGCCUUUAUUUGAGCUAGCUCCAGCUCAAUCCCUUACCUGCACCGACGCAGCGGUGAGAUACGGGGAGGGGGGGGGCAGCGAGUCUCAAAAGGACAAAGGUUUUAUUGGGGCCUAGGGGCAGUUGGUGAGGUAAUGGCUGUGGCCUCAGCCGAUUGGCUGGGGAAGGGUCCGAAUCCUGCUAGGCAGGUGAGCAGGAGGUUACUCAAGGGGAGGAGGCGUGGUCAAGGUGAAGAACACAGAACAAGAUGGAGUCGGGCUGGUGUAGGCCCGCGCUUUCAGCGGAAGCCUCACAGUCUAAGGAUAGAAGGACAGUGUGACAUCAAGAGUGUCGCGUCUCUUGCUAAGGGUGCUCAGGGCCUCGAGGGGCCACUCUGGUGGAAGGCAACAGGGAAAGCCAGAGGAGGCCAUGCUUAAGUUGAGUCUUGACAAGUAGGAGUUAGCUCCCUGGAGCCAAAGAUUUUCAAUAGAGAAAACGUAAUGUGUAAAGCCCAGAGGCCUGACACCGCACAGCACAUUUGGGGAUGUAGAGUGGGUUUGUCCUGGCUCUAGUGUAAGGACUUCAAGCAGGAAUGAAAAUUCAGUCUUGUAUUCUGGAAUGAUCACUGUGUCCGCUGUGGAAGGAGGGCUGGAGGGUUGGGAUAGCAGUGGGUAGGCCAGUAGAUGCUCUGUAAUGGACCCUGUGAGUGAAUCUGGAGAGCAGGAGGAUAUGGGGGAGACAUCAGGGGAAAGGGACCAGAGUUCCUGUGGCUGUUUUGUGUGUACACACAUGUACACGUGCAUGUAUGAGCGCGAGUACACAUGUGUGAGUGCAUGUGCCUGCACACACGCAUGCACAUGCAUGUGGGUUGUGCAUGCCUGAAGUGCAUGCUUGUGCACGUAUGUGAGCGUGUGUGGGAACUGUGGGAGGGUAUGAUAGCGGGGCUGGGGAGCCUACAUUUAGUCACCCUCGUAUUCUUCCUUUUACAUUUGAGUAAACUGAGGCUUUGAUAUCUUUUUUUUUAAAGAUAUGUUUAAUAAUUUUUUUAAGUUUAUGUAUUUAUUUUGAGAGAGACAGAGACAGUGCAAGUGGAGGGGCAGAGAGAGAGGGAGACAGAGAAUCCUAAGCAGGCUAUGCACCAUCAGCUUUGAGCCUGAUGUGGGGCUCGAAUUCACAAAACCAUGAGAUCAUGACCUGAGCCUUAACGCCUGAGCCACCCAGGCGCCCCAGAUACUUUGAUAUGUUAAAUAACUUCCUUUCUUCAUUCAGUGAAUAUUUGAUCACCUUCCAUGUGGAGGGCAUAUUUUACACGUUUAGCCACUUUUAUAAGUGGAAACAUUAUAAAGGAGCUACUAUAAUCUCCUCAUAGAUGAGUAAACUGAAGCUCAGAGAUAAAAAUCCUGAUAAAAUUGAGUAGAGUGUCCUGUAUUCUACAGGGUGUCCCGUGACAAACGUCAGCUGGGGCUUUUUCAGACAGAUGGGCUUCUCAUUUUGGAAAUCCCAAAUCGUCUCUUUCUCUCUUUCUCUCUCUCUUUUCAUUUUCUUUCUUUCUUCUUUCUUUCUUUCUUUCUUUCUUUCUUUCUUUCUUUCUUUCUUUCUUUCUUUCUUUCUUUCUUUCUUUCUUUCUUCUUUCUUUCACAAAAGGGUAAUCUGGGUGCCUUUCAGAGUGCUCCAAGGAUAUAGGCAGGAAGGACUGAGGGGACAGGGAAGAUUUUUAAAAACAAUAGGAAGUCUGUCAGCACACCAUCCUCCUGAAGGCCCUCCCUCUAAGACAGAGCCCAGGGCGGUGAUGGGUAGAGGGGUUCCUGCGAGUUGCAGAAUUGUCUGAAUGCCAUGCCUCUGAGUUGGAAUAUUCAUCCCAGUGUUACGUGGAAGGAGGAAUGGCUGCAGCACAUGCUGUAAGCUAGCACAUCUAAAUCAUACCGUGAAUAUCGGCCACCUUGGUCUCUUGAAGUGCAUGUUCUGAGUCAGUCAGCUGGCUGGGGCCUGAGAUUUCGCGUUUCUAACAAGUUCCCAGAGGACAUCUGUUCCACAGGGUUUGGACCACUCGUGGAGUAGCAAAAGUUUGUAAAGGUAAAGAAGUCAAGGUGCCUGUGGUUAAUGAAGGGGGAACAUGGACAAGAGUCUGAGGGAGAAGAGAAUGAAUUUUGUUUGGGAUGUGUAGUGCUAAGGGCACUCACAUUUUUCCUGUGCGAAAUUAUAUGAUGACUAGUGGGGUUAGCAGUCAAUGAGAGGUCAGCGAGAGGUCAGCGAGAAAUCAGUGAGAAGUCAGUGAGAGGUCAGUGAGAGGUCAGCGAGAGGUCAGCAAGAAGUCAACAGUGAAGAUGCAGUUCUGGGUCAGCACCACCUUGGAGGUUAUGGUGGGUGUCUUGUGGGAAAUGAAAUUGCUUAGAGGUGGCGGGAGAGAGAGAGAGAGAGAGAGAGAGAGAGAGAGAGCGAGAGAGAGCGCGCGGCAGAGGGAGCGGAGCGGGAGCGGGAGAGGGAGAGGGAGUUUAUGAAGAGAAGAAAGAACAGCCACAGGAUCUGAGACAGGACAUUGAAGAUGGUGGAAGAAAAGUGAUGAGUGAAGACUGGCCAGGAGUGGUUAGAAUAUUAGGAGAACAACCAGGUCGGAGGAUGGAAACCAAGUGAGAAGUCGAGAAGUCGGGAGGAGUGCCUGCCGAAGGGCAGCAAGGGAACCUUGGGGAAGGCAGGCAGGAGGCUGGUGGGAAGGAGACUUUGGAGAAUGUAUUUGCUAGGCUCUCGCCCUCCAUCACAGGCCUCUGCUCCUGCCAGUAACCCCCUCCACAGCUGCUCACUCUGGUAGGUCUCUGUAACUGGUCCCAGUAUACUGCACCAUUCCUUGUGACUGAAGGGAUUACUGGUGGAGGAGUGCGCUGGUUUGAGAAAAGCAACCAAGCUUGUAUAUCCUCCAUGUCCCUUUUGGACCAUAACCAAUAUAGAGGGGAGGGUCCGCAGGGUCAGAUGUUGCAAGAGGAAUUGGAGAGCUCUCCUGGUUUCCCCAGAGCCAUUUCCCAAAUACGACGGGCAUAGUGAGUUGAGGGUUGAAUGAGACUUGGGGAAACAUAGACUAACUACUCCUUCAGAAAGUUCAGCUCUGAGGAGACUGAGGGAAACUGUGCAGUCAGCAGAAGGAAUCCUGGAGUUGAGGAAGGGGAGUGUAGAGUUGGAGACCCCGGAGCACGCUUACAGGCAGACAGGAAGGUGCUGUCAGAGAGGGAGAGAUGGAAGAUGGAUGGAGGGUCCCAGGGGUCCAAGACCUCAGGAUCAAUGCACAAUGUGGAAGAUUCAGACUUGUAAAGGAGGAGACGUGUUUCUUCAGAUAAGGAGGAAAGGAUGGAUGAGUGAGGAAACAGGGACUUUGUGCAGGGGCAAGGAGCAUGGAUGCACCUCUUCUUGGGUGCUUUGAGUUUUUAAUGACAAGGAAGCAGAUCUCCACCUUGAAGUGAUGCGAUAGGGGUGGGGAAGAAGUUUAGUAAAAGCUAUUAGGGGGGAAACCAGAAACGUUUGAAGGAAAAUGAACCGAGAAGUAGCAGCCAGGGGGACUUUUCUGUGUUCUGUGAUCCCUCCCUGAUCUCUUCACCAUGUAGGCACCCUUUAUGCAUUUGCCCAUUCUCUCUCCUCUCAUGGAGAGAACACUUCUGCCACAGCGUUCCACAGUGGAUGCACUGUCCUUGUGAGGGCUCUUGCCUUUGUUUGGUAAUGACUUGUCUUUCAGAUUUCUCCUCCUUUCCCCCUCAGUUCCAACAUGGUGGAGCACACGAGUCCCCCAGCAGUUUGCUUGCUGGCUGACCUUAGGCUGCAGCUCCCCUUCUCAGAUCUGUCGGCAUCUGUCUGCAUCUUGCAUUUGGCUUAGCUCACCAUGGCAGAACUCUGGCGGGUCUGGAAUUCCAGAUCCAGUGGCUGCCUUCAUCUUAGUUGCGGCUUCUCUUUUAUUAUUAUUAUUUUUUAAUUUUAUUUUUUAAAAUUUACAUCCAAAUUAGCAUAUAGUGAAGCAAUGAUUUCAGGAGUAGAUUCCUUAGUGGCCCUUACCCAUUUAGCCCAUCCCCCCUCCCACAACCCCUCCAGUAACCCUCUGUUUGUUCUCCAUAUUUAAGAGUCUCUUAUGUUUUGUCCCCCUCCCUGUUUUUAUAUUAUUUUUGUUUCCCUUCCCUUAUGUUCAUCUAUUUUGUCUCUUAAAGUCCUCAUAUGAGUGAAGUCAUGAUACUUGUCUUUCUCUGAGUGACUAAUUUUGCUUAGCGUAAUACCCACCAGUUCCAUCCACGUAGUUGCAAAUGGCAAGACUUCAUUUUUUUGAUUGUGUGCGCCUCUCUUUUAAAAGGAAGAAUCGGGGCGCCUGGGUGGCGCAGUCGGUUAAGCGUCUGACUUCAGCCAGGUCACGAUCUCGCAGUCCGUGAGUUCGAGCCCCGCGUCAGGCUCUGGGCUGAUGGCUCAGAGCCUGGAGCCUGUUUCCGAUUCUGUGUCUCCCUCUCUCUCUGCCCCUCCCCCGUUCAUGCUCUGUCUCUCUCUGUCCCAAAAAUAAAUAAACAUUGAAAAAAAAAAUUAAAAAAAAAAAAAAUAAAAUAAAAGGAAGAAUCUUGGGGCGCCUGGGUGGCUCAGUCGGUUGAGCGUCUGACUUCGCUCAGGUCACGAUCUCACGGUCCGUGAGUUUGAGCCCCGCAUCAGGCUCUGUGCUGACAGCUCAGAGCCUGGAGCCUGCUUCACAUUCUGUGUCUCCCUCUCUCUCUGCCCCUCCCCCGUUCAUGCUCUGUCUCUCUCUGUCUCAAAAAUAAAUACAUGUUAAAAAAAAUUAAAAAAAAAAUAAAUAAAAGGAAGAAUCUGGUUGGCUCAGCCGAGCCAGUGGGUUGGUUUCUCCUGAGCCAGGUGUCCACUCCUGUUUCAGUCAGCUCUGGCCCACCUGUCAAGUGUUACGAACAUGGGCCCACAGACUCACCCUUCAGCAGAAAUUGUGGAUGGUGUAUGAGCAAGUUUAUAUAAGAGGCUCCUAAGGAGAUUAACACCCUCAAAAGAGUUCAGUGCAUGAGGCUUUGGAUUGAUGUGAAUAUAAUUGUUUCAGGAAAAUUCCUUUGGUUAUUUCUCUAGGAUGCUGAAAUCUCCCUCAGCAAUUAGCUGAUGGCUCCCUGAAGAUACUUCACCAUGAGGUGGAACUCACUAAGAAAAAGUAAGUGAGUUUUCUCAUCAUUCCUAUUUUCUCUGUGACUCCAGCAGAUAGAUCUGACUGGUGGAAAAUUUGGUAGAAAUUAAGCCUGUGAAUGUUCACCACCAAUGUCUGCCCAGAGCUGCAGUUCCCUGAGGCAGAGAAAGCUCAUGAUUACAGGCCUGUCUGAGCCUCAUAGUUCAGGGAAGAGAUUCCAACCUACUUUUUCUGGCAUAGCGGUGAGGUUUGGAAAGAGGUUGGGAUUUGGAGUUGGAGUGUCUGAUCUGAUUCAUCAUACUGCACCAUAUAAUUUCAGGAGAAUUUUUAUCUCACUGAGAUGAUAAUUUUCAAGAGACAGCAUCUCUAGAAGGAUAAUACAUUGGGUUAAAUUCCCACUAAGGUGUGGAUGACUGAUUACUCAAACUUUCCCUUGGAGCCAGCUCUGACUCUAAGGAGGGUAUUGAGCUUUGAAGAACAGGACUGGAGGAAAUACCAUGAGAGGAAGACGUCAGUAAGGCUAAAGGCCAGAAGUUCUGUUAAGGAGAUUUCUUCACAUUUAGUCUCCAGCUGAUUACUCUCAAGCCUGGGUGCAUAGGUGUGGUGCUCACUGGGCUUUAAACAUUCAUGUCCCUUGGAAGCAAGCCAUCACUGGGAAUGUUGGUAAGGGGGUUGUCUCCGUAAUGGACUUUAAAAGCUGGGCUCUGUUUUUCAUGACUCUCCUUUCCUGAGAUACUUGCUGACUUUCAUCUUGACUUCCACAACAAUCCUGUUUGAAAGAGAUCAUUUUGAACACUGUCAGAGUACUUUGCUGUGACCCGUUAGCAUGUUGACCCAUGAACAUAUGUGUUCCCUCCAUGAAGAGCCAAGCUCCCUGGUUUAUUGCUAUUUUUGUUUACAAAAUAAAAACAAAAGGGCACCUGGGUGGCUUAGUCAGUUAAGCAUUCCACUCUUGGUUUUGACUCAGGUCAUGAUUUCACGGUUUGUGUGUUGAAGCCCUGCAUUGGGCUCUGUGCUUUCAGUGUAGAGCCUGCUUGGGAUUCUCUGUCUCCCUCUCUCUCUGCCCCUCCCCUACUCACAUGCACGCACACACUCUCUCUCAAAAAUAAAUAAACUUAAAAAAAAAAAAGAAACAACUUGGGGAGCCUCCUUCCUAAAGCAACAAUAAUGACAACAACAAAGAGACCCAUUGGGUCUGUUUCUCAAGAUGACAGUCCUUCAUCAAGUCUCAGAUGCUACAUGCAUUUCUUUUGUAAAGGAUUCCUGACUUUAUAUCUCUCCAAGGACUUUGUAAGGAUGAUCUCACCCUCUGAAAUUGGCAGAGAAGAAGCAUUCCGAUUUCGUUCCAGCACAAGAACAGAAAGGUGGUUGUUAAGCAGAAAUUGUCCAGUCAGGAGUCAGACAAGCCCUGACCCUUCUUCCCCAAAAGAUUCUGGUCAAAUUCCGGAGAUACUCUUACAGGUAGGAUUUACCCUAGACCCCAGAGGCAUCUGCUUCUGGUCUAAGAGGUUUUGAGGUCUGGUUGGUUCCUGGGCCUCUGUGAAGGAAAGGGGGACUCAGGAGAGGGCUAAUGUGGACUCCUUCCUACUAUGUAGAAAAAUGGGAUAAAACAAAAACCAAAUUAGUUCAGCUGCUGGAAGUGAAGAAGGAAUAGAAAAACAUAGCCGGAAGUGGUGAGUGGUGCUACAGCGAGCCAGGGAUGUGAGUGUGUCUGCCUCUGCUCUUAUUAGGCUGGGGUAGGGCCCAUGCAGAGAUGAGAGUUAAGGCCUUGGGCCGGUGCCAUUUGGAGGCCUGAACAAGAAAGCAAAAAGGUGGGGCAGUUGCAGGGCCGAGCUCUCCAUGAAAGGAGGACUAGAAAAAAAAAAAUCUAGCCAUUGAAUCAGGAAGAAGCCAGGAAAGUUUGCCUCUGGUUGGGUUCUGAGUAGAAAAAAAUAAAAGCCUUUUGAGAAAAAAAAUGAAAUCCCGUGAUUGUGCUUUGAGAGGUUCUGGAGACUGAGUGUAUACUGUUCAUGAGUUGUAGCAUCCUAAAUUAAGAGAUGCACAUAAAAAUUGGUCCCGGUUAUGUUGCUGCUAGGUCACAUGCAGAAGCAGAUAGGGGGCGCCUGGGUGGCGCAGUCGGUUAAGCGUCCGACUUCAGCCAGGUCACGAUCUCGCGGUCCGUGAGUUCGAGCCCCGUGUCGGGCUCUGGGCUGAUGGCUCGGAGCCUGGAGCCUGUUUCCGAUUCUGUCUCCCUCUCUCUCUGCCCCUCCCCCGUUCAUGCUCUGUGUCUCUCUGUCCCAAAAUAAAUAAAAAAACGUUGAAAAAAAAAUUAAAAAAAAAAAAAAAGAAGCAGAUAGAAAAUCAUGCUGUCAUAGGAAAUUUCCAUUGAAAAAUCAAGCUCAGUUGAAGAUGAGCUUUCAGUAAAAAAUUACAAAAGAGCUGUCGGAAGAUCCACUACAAGAACUUGCAGGCACAACGAGCCGGAGGAUCAGCAACCCCGAACUUGAAAUCAUAGAAUCUGAAAGGGACCAUGGAUACAGGGUUGUUUCAAUAGUUAUACAGAUAAAAGGGAAAAAUAGAAGCCACAGUGGAAGUAUUAACACUAAUGGGAAAGAUUGGAAGUAACACUGAUAAUAAAACAUAUUAACGUUCAUGUUCAGAUUUGAAAAUAAGUAGACUUAAGCUGAGGAAAACAGGUUGCCACUAAUUAACAAAACAAUAAAACACAAAAGGUUCAGCAUCCUUUGAACUGUGUCCCUCUCCCCCCCCACAAAAAAACAAAACCAAAAAGUACCAAAAAAGUCCAAAAGCCAGAACUUGGAAAGAGAAAAUGGGAGGCAUACAUUCUUGUCCUAGCAUAUUUCAACCCACUGGGGCUUAGCAUGGUCUGUAUACUCUUGGAAAAUAUGCUAGCUAGCGUUAGGAUUAUCAUGAGGAUAAGAAUGUAGACACUAAGCUUGGUUGCCUAGGACACCAAAAUAAUCUUUCUAUUAUAAAGACAUGAUACUGGAAAUGCUGGGCCAACAGGUUUCCUAUGAGCAGCCCCAAGAGAGCAUAGAGUAGGAGAGAAUGAAUGGGGAAUCUGAAUGGAGUCAUGAGAUGGAAAAAAAGUUAUUUGUUUAUUUAUUUAUUUUCAUUUAUAUAUAUUUUUAGUGUGUUGUUUUUAAAAAUUGUAUAAUUGUUCAAUUCAAGCUUAUAUGGUAGAGAAUGUGGGUACAUGCCUGAUAAUCAGCCACCAUCAGUGUAAUGAAUCAGUGUUAGCUUUACCUCCCCUACCAGCUCAUGUUCCACUAUAGUAUUGUUAGAGACAGUAGAGUCCACUCUCUUGUUAGUGCCCUGAGCUUGGUUGGGAUUAUUUUGGUUGUAGAACAAAGAAGAAAGUGGGAAAGGAGAAAAAAACUGUUAUUAUUUGAGAUUAUAUGAUGGCCAACAUGGAACAUCCAUGAGAACUUAUAGGCAAAAUGUUAGAAAUAAUGAGAGCUGAAAAAGAUCACUGGGAACAAGAUUGAUACACAAAAUCAUUGGUAACAAAAUUUAGAAAAUUUAAUUAAAAAUACUAUUUAUAAUAACAGCAGCAACAAAAAAAAAACUAUGAGCUCUUAGAAAUAAAUAUAAUAAAAGUGUAAAACUGUUAUGGAAAAAUCAAAACUACUUCUUGAAAGAUUAUAAAAUAAGACCUAAGGAGUUAGAGACAAAAUUCCAUAUUCAUGGACAGAAAGACUUGGUAGCAUAAAAGAUGUCAAUUUUUUUGUCCAAAUUAAAUAAGUUAAUUUAGUUCCAAACAAAUUCCCAGGAGAGUUUGUCACAGAGCUUGACAAAAUAGACCCAAAAAUUCAAACAAAAGAAGGAAGGCCAAAAAUAUCCAAAAAAUCUUAAGUCAUGAUGAUGAUAAGAGACUUAUUCUACCGAAUUAAAAAAAAAUUAUACGAAGCUAUAUGGUGACUUAAACAGUGGGAUAUUGGCAUAAGGAUAGAUAAAUCUACCAAUGGAACAGAAUGGAGAGUGUAGGAACAGACUCAUGUAUAUCAGGGAUUUGGCUUAUGUGAGGUAACAUUACAAAGCAGCAGGUAAAGAAUGGACUAUUUAACAAAUUGUCUUGGACAAUAAACUAUGAAAAAAGAUGAAAUAGGAUUCCUACCUCACCAUACAUACACUCUUCUUCUUCUUCUUCUUCUUCUUCUUCUUCUUCUUCUUCUUCUUCUUCUUCUUCUUCUUCUUUAAAUGUAAUUUAUUGUUGCACUGGCUAAAAUAACAGGGUAUAAAGUGUGCUCUUGGUUUUUGGGGUAGAUUCCCAUGGUUCAUCGCUUACAGCACCCAGUGUUCCUCCCAACAAGUGCCCAUCACCCAUUUUCCCCUCCCCCCCAUCAACCCUGUUUGUUCUCUGUAUUUAAGAGUCUCUUUUGGUUUGCCUCCCUCCCUCUCUGUUUGUAACUACUUUUCCCCCUUCCCUUCUCCCAUGGUCUUCUGUUAAGCUUCUCAAGAUCCACAUAUGAGCGAAAACAUUUGAUAUUUCUCCUUCUCUGACUAUUUCACUCAGCAUAAUACCUUCCAGUUCCAUCCAUGUUGCUGCAAAUGGCAUGAUUUCAUUUUUUCUCAUUACCAAGUAGUAUUCUAUUUUAUAUAUAAACCACAUCUUCUUUAUCCAUUCAUCAGUUGAUGGACAUUUAGGCUUUUUCCAUAAUUUGGCUAUUGUUGAAAACGCUGCUAUAAACAUUGGGGUCCAUGUGCCUCUAUGCAUCAGCACUCCUGUAUCCCUUGGGCAAAUUCCUAGUAGUGCUACUGCUGGGUUAUAGGGUAGUUCUAUUUUUAAUUUUUUGAGGAACCUCCACAUUGUUUUCCAGAGGUGCUGCACUCUGUUUUCCAGAGUUUGCAUUCCCACCAACAGUGCAAGAGGGUUCCCGUUUCUCCACAUCUUCACCAGCACCUGGUUUCCUGAGUUGUUCAUUUUAGCCACUCUGACUGGUGUGAGGUGGUAUCUCAGUGUGGUUUAGAUUUGUAUUUCCCUGAUGAUGAGUGACGUUGAGCAUCUUUUCGGACACAUACACACUUCUAGCUGGAUUAAAAUAUAAAUGUAGAAUGUAAAACUUAAGAUUUUAAUAAGAAAAUAUAGAAAAAUAUCUUUAUAACUUCAGGGUAUGCAAAAUGCAAAAUUAAACAAGACAAAAUAGGCAAAAAAGUUAAAGCGAAAAUUUUGAUAAACUUUCAUGAAAAUGAGAGAAGUUUGCAAUAUCUACAGCUAAUAAAUAAUUAGUGUGCAGAGAUACAAAAAGUCUUGAAAAUUAGUAAUAAGGAAACAGGCAACAAAGUUGGAAAUUUAUAGAAAGGAAAAUUGAAUGGAUGCUGAUGAUAAGAAAAGAAUCUUACUUUGUCAGUUAAUGAGGUGAUUGCAAAAUAAAAUAAUUUCACAAUAUCAUCAGAUUGACAAAAAUGCAAAGUCUGGUAACACUAAGUGGUGGUUAGGAUGGGGAGAAAUAGAAACUCUUUAAUAGUGGCAAUAUAAAUUCAUACAUCAAUUUCUAGGAAAAUUUUACAGUAUCUAUUAUAGUUAAAGAGAUGCAAGCCUUUGACUUAAGCAUUUUCAUUCCCACUUAUGUAUUCUAGACAAACGUUGGUGUUUAUGUGUAAGAGAGUUCACCACAGGACAUUUUGGAAUAGAGAAAAUAGAAAAUCAAUCUAAUCAUCCAUAAAUAGAAUAAAGUUUUGAGAAGUGCCUUUUUGGCUCGGUUGGUAGGGCACAGGACUCUCACUCUUGGGGUUGUGAGUUCAAGCCCCAGUGUUGGGCAUAGAGCUUACUUAGGUAAAAAUGAAUGAACUAGAUCUCCUAUGUCAAGAUAGUUUUAACUCUCAAAGAAUAUUAGAAGUGAGAAAAUAACCUGUAAGAUGAUAUUAUAGUUACAUCCUAUUAUUUUUUCAAACUGUUGAUUAUGACUCACCUAUAAGUUGUGAAAUCAGUUUAGUGGGUCACUGCCAGCAUUACAAAAUAAAGUUAGAAUAGAAAGAAAAUAUCUGAAUGUGUUAGAAGUAGUUAAACAGUAAGUAUUUCCAUGACAGUGUUGUUUUAUAUUACAUCCACAUGCACACAUACAGGUAUAUAUGGAUACAUAUACAUGUGUGUACAUGUGUGUGUUUACCAAAAUGCAAAACACAUUUUUUACAAUGAAUAUGGUAGAGAAGUCCAAAAGUCACCGUUUUUUAUACAUUAAAAAUGUGAGAAGGCACCUGAGUGGCUCAGUCCAUUAAGCAUCCCACUCUUGAUUUUGGCUCAGGUCAUAAUCUCAUGGUUCAUGAGAUUGAGCCCCAUGUUGGGCUCUGUGCCGACAUUGCAGAGCCUGCUUGGGAUUCUCUCUCUCUCUCUCUCUCUCUCUCUCUCUCUCUCUCCAUCCCCCUCUCAUACAUGCAUUCUCUCUCUCUCAAAAAAAGUGUGAAACAAUAUUAUAAGUAUACAGAUUCCACAAUAUUCAUGGGAGUGAUAAAUACCAGUGUUGGGAUAGUGGUUAUCACUGGAGUGAGAGGGAAGAAGAAGCCAUGGGUCUGGGUGUGAAGAUUUUGCUCCAUCUGUGUUGUUGCAAAUGGCAAGAUUUCCUUCUUUCUUAUUCUUUACUGAAUAAUAUUCCAUGGAUAAAUGUACCACAUCUUUUUUUUAUCCAUUUGUUUGUAGAUGGGCACUUAGGUUGUUUCCAUGUUUUGGCUAUUGUGAAUAAUGCUGCAGUGAACAUGGAGUGGAGAUAUUUCUUUGAUAUUAUGAUUUCAUUUUUUUUUAGAUAUAUACCCAGCAUUAGGAUUGCUGGAUCAUAUGGUAGUCCUAUUUUUAAUUCUUUGAGGAACCUCCAUAUUGUUUUCCAUUGUGGCUCUACCAAUUUAUAGUGCCACCAAUAGUGCACAAGAGUUCCCUUUACUCCACAUCCUGGACAACAUAUGUUGCCUCUGCCUUUUUGAUGAUAGCCAUUCUAACAGGUGUGAGGUGCUAUCUCAUUGUGGUUUUGAUUUGCAUUUCCCUGAUGAUUAGUGAUGUUGAGUAUCUUUUCAUGUACCUCUUGGUCAUUUGGAUGUCUUCUUUGAAAACAGUGUCUAUUCAUUUCCUCUGUCCAUUUUUGAAUUGAAUUGUUAGUCUGCUAGGAGUUGUAUGAAUUCCUUAUGUAUUUUGGAUGUUAGCUCCUUAUCAGAUAUAUAAUUUUCAAUUUGCAGUAUAGUUUUCUUCCAUUCUGUAUGUUGCUUUUUCAUUUUGUUGAUUGUGUCUUUUGCUGUGCAUGUGUGUUUUAUAAUGUAGGUCCAUUUAUUUAUUUUUGCUUUUGUUGCUUGUGCUUUUGAUGUCAUAGCCAAAAGAGUGUUGCUAAGACCAAUGUCCAGGAGCUUUUCCCUAUGUUUUCUUCUAGAAGUUUUAUGAUUUCAGGUAUUAUGUUGAAGUCUUUAAUCCAUUUGAGUUAAUUUUUUGUGAGCGGUACAAGAUAAGAGUCUAAUCUCAUUUUUCUGCAUAUGAUUAUUCAGUUUUUCCAGCACCAUUCAUUGAAGAGACUAUUCUUUCCCCAUUGAGUAUUCUUGACUCCCCUGUCAAAUAUUAGCUGACUGUAUAUGUUAGGGUUUAUUUCUGGGGUUGCAAUUCUGUUCCAUUGGUCUGUGUGUCUAUUUUUAGGCCAAAACGUUACUCUUUCGAUUCCUAUAGCUUUGCAAUAUAGUUUUGAAAUCAGGCCGUGUGAUGCCUCCAGCUUUGUUAUUCUUUCUCAAGGUUGCUUUUGCUAUUCAUGGUCUUUUGUGGCUCCAUUUGAAUUUUAGGAUUGUUUUUUCUCUUUCUGUGAAAGAUGCCAUUGGAAUUUUGAUAGGGAUUGCAUUGAAUCUACAGAUGGCUUUGGGUAGUACAGACAUUUUAACAAUAUUAAUUCUUCUGAUCCAUGAACAUAGAAUACCUUUUUAUGCAUUGGUGUCUUCUUUGAUUUCUUUUAUUAAAGUUUUAUAGUUUUCAUUCUAUAGAUCUCUCACCUCCUUGGUUAUAUUUACUCCUCAGCGUUUCAUUUUCGUUGGUGCUAUUGUGAAUGGGAUUGUUUUCUUUCUUUUUCAGAUAUUUCAUUGUUAGUGUAUAGAAAUGCAAUUGACUUCUGUAUGUUGGUUUUGUAUCCCUCAACUUUACUGACUGAAUUUGUUGAUUCAUUCUAACAGUUUUUUUGUGGAUUCGUUAGGAUUUUCUAAAUAUAAGAUCAUAUCAUUUGCAGAGACAAUUUCACUUCCAUUCUAACGUGGAUGACUUUUAUUUCUCACUCUUGCUUAAUUAUUCUGGCUAGGACUUGCAGUACUAUGUUGAAUAUGAGUGGUGUGAAUGGGCACCCUUGUGUUGUUUCUGAUCUUAGAGGAAAAGCUUUCAACCUCUCAUUGUUGAGUAUGAUGUAGGCUGUGUGCUUGUCAUGUAUGGCCUUUAUUAUGUUGAGAUAUCUUCCUUCAGUACCCAAUUUGUUGGGAGUUUUUAUCAUGAAAGUAUGCUUUAUUUUGACCAAUGUUUUUUUUGCAUGUAUUGAGAUGAUCAUAUGGUUUUUAUCCUUCAUUCUUUUAUUUUUAUUUUUAUUAAAGUUUAUUUAUUUAUUGAGAGAGAGAGAGAGAGAAUGAGAGAGAAUGAGUGGGGGAGGGGCUGAGGGAGAGGGGGACAGAAGAUCUGAAGCAGGCUCUGUGCUGACAGCAGAGAGCCCAGUGCAGGGCUCCAACUCACAAACCAUGAGAUCAGACCUGAGCCGAAGUCAGAUGCUUAACAGACUGAGCUACCCAGGUGCCCCGUAUCCUUCAUUCUUUUAAUAUGAUGUAUCACAUUUAUUGAUGUUGAAACAUCCUUGCAUCCCAGGGAUAAAUCCCACUUCUUCAUGGUGUUUAAUCCUUUUGUUGCAUAUUCACAUUGCAUAUAAAUUUCUUAUUUUCAAGAACCAUAUUUAAGAUAAAAUGGCUGUCAGUAAUUAAAAUGAAAUAAAGGAAAAAUAAUGUAUAAAUUAGUACAUCAUUUUACUUUUCUCUUAUUUUCCCCAUCACAUGUUUAUUGUAUUGUAUCACUCAUGCUCCAUUUUCCUCCUUGCUAUUUGCUGCACUGAGUAUUGCCCAAAGCUGGAACCCAUAUCUCAUCAGGGCUGGCCACCUAAUAAGGUCUCCUACCCACUGUUUUUCUUUUUUCCCCAGUAAAAACUUAUCUGUUCUAUGUCACAUUCUUAUAACAGGGUUUUCACCCAGGUAUCCUGGUUAAAAAAAAAAAAAUUAUGAGAUGAACUUUCCUGGGGCAUAUAGUGUUAUAGCCCUAGUGGGUUCCCAAAGGCUGCACUGCUGACAGCCUGGGAACAGGAGUGGUGGGGUUUACACUUAGGAACAAGUGAGAAGCGGUCGUGACUGGGCAGGCUUGGUCACGAUUUGGAGGUUAUGAGCAGUUUACCACCUCUAACUUCAAGUCUCAAAUUCCUUGUCAUUUCUGAUGCGGCUCAUCCUAUCUCUCCAUCCAGGCUCUGCCUGCAGAGGGGUCCUCACCCGAGAGAUUCACUCCUUUAGUCCUAUUUGGGAAGCCUUCCCCUUACAUGGCAGCAUCUUGGGGUCCAGGAAGAGAGAUCUUGCUGUAAAUUCAGAUGCCAUCAGGCACUGAGAAAUUAUGACUGUUUUUUCUUUUUUUUUUUUUUUUCCAGUGUGGUUCGUUGGGUAGCUAAUUCUCAUUGGUUAUGCUGAGGUGAGGAUUCUUUGGGAUUUUGGAAGAAAAUAUCCUCACAUUUUCCAUUCCUUUCUUCCCAGAGACAGUUUGCUGGCAAGUAAUGGCUACCUCUCUCUGCAGCCAGAUGAGAAACAGAACUUAAGGCAGAGGCGAGAACAAUGCCCAUGUGGCCAGUGACAUUCUUUGGUCUUUUUUUUUUUUUUUUUUAAAGUGUAGGAAAAUGCAAAAUUUAAAAAGGGCCUAAUCUCCAGAGGAGUGAAAACUGCCUCUGGGGAGAGAAGACUGGCUGGGAUGUCAGAUGCUACAUUUCUCGUUCCUCCUGGGAGGAGGAUCUUCAGUUCCCACAUCACAGUCCCUGGCCUGGGUGUCUGAUGGUGGAGGCUGCACAUUUGAGUGCUCUGGGCCUCGGUCCUCUGCCUCAUCCUCUCCAAAGACAGGCUCACCCAGACUCCGGCCCCAGGGAACUCUGAGAAACACCUUUGUUGUGGUGACUUCUGCUCAAGUCAGCCAGAGGGACAAUUCUCACCUCACAGGGCUUCUGAAAGGCCUCACAUGCUGCCUCAAAUGUAAUCUCUCGCUUUCCAUUGUGCUUAGGGAAUUGCUAUAACUUUGGAAGAAAAUGAUAAAAUAAAAACAGUACAUGUAUGCUCUUAAAAUAAAAAAGCAGACAAUGUUACGAAAGCCAACAAUGGAAAGCUCUUGUCUCUCAGGCCAUGGCCACCCACCCUGAGCCCUGCUUCCCAGAGGAAACUGCUCUUAAUUGUUGCUUUGUUUCUUUUUUAAAUUUAGUUUUUAUUUUAUUUUAUUUUAUCAAGGUUUAACGGGUGAACUAGUUCUACAAGGCUUGUUAUUAAAAUAGCGGUACAAGUUUCUUUUUGAGAUGAUGAGAAUAAUCUAAAAUUAGAAUGUGGCGAUGGUUGCAUAACUCUGUAAAUACCCUAAAACCCAUUGAAUCGUGCACUUUAAAUGGAAGGACUUUACGGCAUGUUAAUUAUAUCUCAAUAAAGCUAUUAAGAAAAGGGAGGACAAUAAAUACUUCCAAGAAAAGCAGUCUCCUGACCACCUCCCCCACACCAACCACUUUCCCACUUCACGGAAGCAACCGCUUUCAAUUAGUGUGAUAUUUUCCUCCACGUUUCUAAAUUGAUUUGCUUGCAAUGCUAUUUCUUGAUUAUUCGGUUUUAGUCAUUUACUAAACAAAUUUUUUUUCAUGUUUAUUUUUGAGAGAGAGAGAGAGAUGGAGUGUGAGCAGGGGAGGGGCAGAGAGAGGGAGACACAGAAUCCCAAGCAGGCUCCAGGCUCUGAGCUGUCAGCACAGAGCCCGAUGUGGGUCUCAAACUCAUGAGCCGUGAGAUCAUGACCUGAGUCAAAGCUAGAGGCUUCACUGGCUGAGCCACCCAGGCACCCCUAGUCAUUUACUAUUGACUUAAAAAAAAGAUGAGGUUUUAACCUUCUUUCAUAUUACUUACCCUGGCCCCUACCAUUCUACUCGCACACUUCUCAUCCUCCGUCUUUCUAAUACAGUGUUAUUAAUAUUUUGGUUAGCUCAGUUUUCUGUGUUUACAUUAGUAUUAGGACAAAAAUUCCAUGGGCAGCAGCUCAGUUGUGUGGCAUGAAGGAAGGUUUCUUAGUUGGUCAGCCUCCUAUUUUUUUCCCUCCCUCACCCCCACUUCCAGUAUCAGGCAUGGCUGAUUUCUAGAUCUUUGAGGCAUCAAUAGUGGUGUGAAGUGUUUUGAGGCUGUCUCCACUGUGGUCUUGGAAUACAGUUGUUUUUUUUUUUUUUUAAGGUGACCCUUGGGUUAUUUCUUACUCAUCCAUCUGCUAAUUUCUGAAAAUUUGUCACUAUUUUCUCAUCAUCCAUUCUUUUGUUUUAAAAUAAAAUUUAUUAAAAUAUAAUUAAUAUUCCAUACAAUUCACCCACUUAAAGUGUACAAUUCAGUGGGGGGCGCCUGGGUGGCUCAGCUGGUUAAGCAACUGACUCUUGAUUUUGGCUCAAGUCAUGAUGUCACAGGUGGUCAUGAGAUCGAGCCCCAAGGUGGGCUCCGUUGUUCAUGGAGCCUGCUUAAUAUCAUAUCCUUCCCUCUUCCUGUGCCCCUCCCCUGCUUGGUACACACACUCUCUCUCAAAAAAAGUGUACAAUUCAGUGGAUUUAAUAUAUUCACAGAGUUGUGCACCCAUCACCUCAAUCAAUUUUAGAAUGUUAUGAUUUAUUUUCCUUGGUGUGUUUAUGCCUUAAAACGUCUUUUACUGCAUCUGUAGUGGGAUUUUGGAAGCUAGUGAAGGCUAACACAUGUAUUCUAUCUGUCAUAUAUCAUCAGAGCAUCUACUUCAUAUCUAUAUAUCACUUUUUGAUUUAGUAAAUUAGACAUUAUUUAAUGUCUUCUUGCAAUAAUAGAUGAAAAUUGAACGCAGUUACAUAGUUAUAGUACUAUUUUUAGUUCCUUCAUUAAUUAUCUUUGUAACUUUAAAGGUUUUGGUCACCUUUUUAUUUCUUUUUCUAUCAAUUAUAGAUGGCAUCUCUUAACAGUGUGUGUGUGUGUAUAUAUAUAUAUAUAUAUAUAUGAUUUGCUUCUUUUCUUUUUCAUUUACCUCUCUUUCACUUACGUCUUUCAGCUUGUCAUCUAUAAUUUUCCCUUUGCAUUUUUUCCCUUUGUAUUUUUUUUAGGUUUUUUAUGUUUGUUUUUGAGAGAGAAAGAGUUAGGGCAUGAGUGGGGGAGGGUCAGAGAGAAGGGGAGACAUAGAAUCUGAAGCAGGCUCCAGGCUCUGAGCUGUCAGCAUAGAGCCUGACGUGGGGCUCGGACUCACAAACUGUGAGAUCAUGACCUGAGCAGAAGUCAAAUGCUUAACCGACUGAGCCACCCAGGUGCCCCUUUCCCUUUGUAUUUAAAAAAAAGAAAUUUUUGUUAAACGUUUAUUUAUUAAAAAAAAUUUUUUUAAAUGUUUAUUUAUUUUUGAGGCAAUGCGAGUGACAGAAUGCAAGCAGUGGAGGGGCAGACAGCGGGAGACACAGAAUCUGAAAUGGGCUCCAGGCUCUGAGCUGUCAGCCCAGAGCCUGACGCAGGGCUUAGACUCACAAACCAUGAGAUCAUGACCUGAGCUGAAGUUGGACACUUAACUGACUGAGCCACUCAAACACCCCAUAAUGUUUAUUUAUUUUUGAGAGACAGAGCAUGAUGGGGGGAGGGCAGAGAGAGAGGGAGACACAGAAUUGAAGCAGGAUCCAUGCUGCGAGCUGUCAGCACAGAGCCCCACGUGGGGCUCGAACUCAAGAACCAUGAGAUCAUGACCUGAGCCAAAGUCGGAUGCUCAACCUACUGAGCCACCCAGGCGCCCCUCCUUUUGUAUUUUAAUAUAUUCAUAUAUUUGUAAUAUAUUCAUAACUAUAACCAUCAUUAAUUUUUAUGCUUUGCCUAUAUGUUGAUCCAAAAGUUAAAAACAAUAAUAAAAAUUGUUUAUAUUAUAAAUAUGUACAUAUUUUCAUUGCAUAUUCAACUAGAGCAUUCUAAUUAUAUUUUAUAUAUAUUUUUUGUUCAGUUUUAAUUUUUUCUGGAAUUUUCAAUGAACUUUCUUUUUUUCUUGCAUUGUCUUUCUGAAUUACAAGCUUAAGUUCUUUUAAGUAAUCAAGAAUAGUAUCAUAUGUAUAGAAUCCACCCUUUUCCUUGAUUUUCAUUCUCUGGGUCCUCUGCUAGCUUGCUUGAAUCUGGAAUUAUUUCUUUCUCACUGUGCUAAAUAGUUUUUAUCUUGGAUCCUUAACCUCCUGGGUUGAAUCUCUUGUUUCUAGGAUCCUGUGUCAUCUUCUUUCUCAUUUUACUCUUUUUUUUUUUGCUGGAGCUCAUCUUCAAGUAUAUUAAUAGAAAGGUAGUAAAAUUUUCUUUCCUUGAAGGUCUCAAAAUAUCUUUGUCUUAAUUUUAUAUUUUCAAUGAUAGUUUGACAGGGUAUAUAAUUCUAUGUUGAAACUAAAUUUUUCUCAGAAAUUUUAAGGCUUUGUUCCAGUGUUUUCUAGAAACCCUUAUCUCUGAUGUAAUCUCUGAUACCAGUCUGGUUCCUGUUCCCCUGUAGACAAUUUUAUUUUUCCUUUCUAGAGGCUUUUAGGAUUAUUCUUUUUAUCCUUGGGGGUCUUGAAAUUUCACCUCUGUCUAUUUUGCUCUCUUUUUCAUUUUUGGCACUGCAUUUGGUUGACCUUUCAAUCUAAAGACUUGUAUCCUUCAAAUCUGGGUGAGUGGGAUACUAUUUUAAAAAUAAUUCUACUCCCUUUCUGUUUCCUAUACUCCCUCUCUUCUUCACUGGGACUUCUAUGGGUCAGAUGGAUUGAUCUUCUAUGAAUUUUGUUUUUUUUUUAAGUUUAUUUAUGUAUUUUGAAAGAGAGAGCAAGCGGGUUAGGGGCAGAGAGAGAGGAAGAGAGAGAGAAUCCCAUGCAGGCUCCACACUGUCAGCAUGGAGCCCAAUGUGGGGCUCGAACUCAAACCGUGAGAUCAGACCUGAGCCAAAACCAAGAGUCAAACACCUAAUCGACAGAGCUACCCAGGUGCCCCUUUUUUCUUUUAUAUAAUAUUUCCCUUUACUUUUAUUUUCUUUGCUAGGGGGUUUUCUUAACUUUAUUUUCCAAUCAUUCUGAUGAUUUUUAGAUUUCUUUUUGAAUUGUUUCCUUUAUUCAUAGUAUCUUGUUAUUAUUUUAUGUGAUGUCACAAAUCUUACUGAGGAUACUAGUUAGAGACCUUCUUGUCUCUGAGUUACCCAUAUCUUAAUGUUUAUGUUGGUCUUUCUCACAGUCUAGGCUUCUCUCAAAAGUCUAGUGAGGUUUUAGUUAUAUUCAAGGAUGAAGCAAUAGAAAAAGGCGAUUGGGAAGUCUGCGUGUGAGGGAGGAGCUUUUCAACUGGUAGGCUUUGUUUAAAGAAGGAGAGUGGGCAGGAAGUUGGAUCUUACCAAGGAGACUCCAAAUGCCCUACUCUGGCCACCCUAGCUUUUCCCAGCUUGUCUACUCUUUAAAGGGAAGAACCCUCUGUUAUGUUUGUUUGGAGUAAAGAGGGUAUGAUUAGCACCCUAGCUUUUCCCAGCUUGUCUACUCUUUAAAGGGAAGAACCCUCUGUUAUGUUUGUUUGGAGUAAAGAGGGUAUGAUUAGCACCCUAGCUUUUCCCAGCUUGUCUACUCUUUAAAGGGAAGAACCCUCUGUUAUGUUUGUUUGGAGUAAAGAGGGUAUGAUUAGAGAAUACAAGUCUGCUAGUUCUGCACAAGUUGGGGACAACUCUUUUGUAUACAGACUUUCCAUUAAUCUCCUUGUUUUCAGCCCUUCAUCUUACUCCCAUUCUCUAACACCUGGCAUUUGUGAGUUGAGACCCUCUCUGGGGCUAUUCAGGGCAGGGGUCUCAAUCUUCAGCUCCAUCCCCUCCAUGGGUCCUGUAGACCAUAGCAUCCUCCAUCUUGUUUCAUCCUUUGCCAGCUCCUCAUGUAUUUGUUUUCUGUCCUUCAGAAAUGUAUUGCAAUCCAUUGUCCACUGAUGGAUACUCCCACUCUCUUUAUUGUGAUGAACUUUUAAAUAUUUUUACUGUCAUUUUAAUGAGGUCUUUCAAGGGAAUGAAAGGUAGUAGUAUGCUAUCUUGAUUGGAAACCCUGUUAGUUUUGAUAGAUCUUGGGUUUAUUGACAGAUCUGGGUUGCAGUUACAUAGCUCAGUGCAUUUUUAUGCUACUUCAUCCCUUCUCGCUGCAACAUUGCUAUUAUGUGGAAGACUGGAGAAGCACUGAGAAGAGUGAGCUAAACGAUUCAUUUUUCUGGGGCCCAGGUUCCUCACUUUUAAGUCAUUCGUGCAAUUAAUGAACCUCUGGUACAUAUGUGGUUUUGCGUUAAGUGCUGGAGAAACAAAGAUGAAUUAGUCACAGUCCUUUCCUAUCAGCUAGUUGGGGUAAGAGUUGAGCAGAGACAAAAUAAUUAGAUUUUAUGGUGAGUGCUAUGAUAGAGAUAUGUAACAGAUAAUAGAGGAAGAUGAAAUCAUGGAAGGUUUCACAGAGGAGGUAAUAUGUAAGCUUAAAUAAGAGUUCUCUAGAUUGACAAGGGAGAGGGAAGGCAUUCCAGGAAGAGGGAUAAGAGGUACCAGGAAUCAUGACAGAGCUUGGUGCUAUCAGGGAACAUGUAAUAAUUCCAUGUAACUGGAUGGAGCAUAGGUGCUAGUGCAGGAGGGAUGAGAAGUGAGACUAGAAAGUUAACAAUGGCAGCUAACAUGUCUUAUAUGUACAAUUAUCACACACAUUUACAGAUGAGGAAACUGACCUUAAGGUCCCUCAAUUUGUAAGUGGGGUAGCUGGGGUUAGAUCCCUGACAGUCUGGUUCUAGAGCUCAUUCUUUUUGUUUAGGGGUUAGAUGAUCAAGGGUUUUGUUAAGGAGUUUGGGCUUAUUUUUACAAACAGGCCCUAGGGUCAGGGUUAGACAAGAUCAACGUUGUGUUUUAGAGACAUAACUCUGGAGCCCCUAUUUGGAAGGUCGAAGUGAGAGAACCAGAGAGCAAAUUAGGGGAUGGUCGCUUCAUGUAUCAGGGAAUGGAUGAUGAAUCCUGAAUUUAGAAGGGACAUGGGGCUGCAGUGGAAGAGGUUAUUAUUUAUUCCUGAAGCAAAAUCAACAGAACUUGGUCACUAACUAGAUGUGAGAGUUAGGAGGAGAUGGGGUCAAGAUUAGGUGACUGAGACAAUGGUGUUUAAGAUAAGCACUCUUUGGAGAUGGGAGAGGAAGAGGAUGUGCCAUUGAGGUGACUGGAUCAUAUCCAGGUAGUCAUGUCCAGACGUGUUUGGAAGGAUGGAUCUGGAAUGUUGGGGAGACAUCUGCGUUGGCGCUACAGAUUUAGGAUUCACUAACCCAUAAGGAAAAUUGAAAUCAUGGGAAUGGAUAUGAAGAGAGUAUGUGGUACGAAGAAAACCAAGGUCAGAGUCCUGUGAAGCAUCAGAAUUUAUGAAGACCGUGCCCAAAAAGCUGGUUGAUGACAUACUUAAGAAGAGGUGUAGGGGUUUGGGUAGUGGGAGAAGUUAGGAAGAUUCCAGAACUGCCUCUGGGCAGCUUUGGUGUGUGGGGCCAGGCUGUCAGGGAGGCAGCCUCAGGGGAGAGCCAGGUCUCUGAAGGACAGGGGGAAGGGGCAGGGGUGAAGCACGGAUGGAGAGAGGUUUUCCCAGAAAUGAGGACUCCAGGGGGAAAAGAAGAAAGGGAGGAUAGCGUUCAGAAGUGUUGGGGUGGAAAGAGGUCACUUGACUGAGAGUUCAGUGACCGAGGGCACCAUGGAGGGUGGCUGAGGGAGGGUUGGGAACCAUUCCAAACUGGCCCCUCUUCUCUCAGCUAUUUCCAGCCUCUAGUUACUCAGGUGGCUGCCUGUCGCUGCAUUUGUAGAUCCGUGGCGUUGAAUCUGGGUCCCUGAAGUGCUGAUGUGUACGUUUACAUCCACAUAUUUGGCUUCCCCGGACCCCAGGACAGAUGUGGAAACAGUAAGCACAGGCAGCCAAAAUAAGCAGAGAGGCUUACAAAUCCAAACCUCCUUUCUGUUUAAACUGGAACGUCAAGACCCAGCUUCAUUCCUCCAAUCUGUUCCAGUCCAAAGGAAAAUGGGCCAUCUCUGGUCUCACAUUUUGGAGCAGAGCAUGACGACUCCAUGCCACAUGCCCGAUUGGUUGGUCUGGACCACCACACAGCCUGGUGCCCGGCCACUCCCGAGGCCUCCUGCCAGACUCCACACAGGUGUCUUGAUUGGUUUCUGAGUGUCUCCUGAACCCGUCCCAACAGCCCAUCUAGUAGAUACUAUAUUGGUCUCAUUUGCAGCUAGAAAAAAAGGAAACUCAGGAUCACACAAAUACUAAGCAGGAGAAGUAGAAUUUAUUUUAUUAAACUUUUCUUUUGUUAUGAAAUAUUUCAAACAUAGAGGAGCAUUCCAAGAAUACCAUAUGAUAGCUCUAUAAGACUUUAACCUUAAGCUACCCCUGCAUCAGAUUUUUAAAAGAAAAUAUUAACAAAUCCAGUUAAAGCUCUCCGUAUGUCCCUUUCUGAUGUUUUUUUCUCCUCCUUCUCUUUAGAAAUAACUACUAUUUGAAGUUGAUGUUUAUUAUUACUAUGCAAGUGUUUAUAUUUUUGUGCAUUGAGCAAUCAGCCAUUGUUGGGUCAUGUUUCACAAUUCCCUUCCAGUCCUGUUCAAUCCAGAUUCUAACUCCUUAGCUCCCUAAUUUGGAUGUUUAAGUCAAUUUCCUUACUUCCUUCGAUAAUAUUACAGGCUUAUUAUGGGUAGUUUGUCUUGCUCAAGCCUUUCUUGCCAAACCAUUCUGUGUAGUGAAUGGACCAUGAACAAUAUUUUCCACAGAGCAGAGGUGGGUGUGGAAGGUGGGUGGAAAUGUGGAUCAACCAAGAAGUCAGAGGACAUAGGAGCACCAGAAUCUUCUGGACAAUGCUUGCAACAGUCUCAAGGUUCUUCCCACUUCUUCUCGAUGAGUUUCUCCCAUCUGGCAGAAAGAACUCUCCUAAUAUUAAAUCCUACAGGAAGUGGAAUGUUUAAAGGUUUUUGAGGGGUUUUUUUAUUGAAGAUUUUUUCUCAUGUUUUGCCUGGUAUUUUCCAUGAGUCAAAGACAAUGAAAUAAAAAAAAAAUCACAGCCAUCUUCAUCAGUGAUGAGUUCUUCAGCUUCUAGAACAGUGAGGUACCAUGUUUUCUGCAGAAUUCCAGGAUGUCCAGAAUUUUCUGCAAUGAUGGAAAUGUUCUAUAGCUAUGCUGCCCAGUACAGUAGCUCUUAGUCAGUAGUCACAUGUGACCAUUGAGUACUUGAAAAGUGGCUGGUGUGACUAAUGAACUGAAUUUUAAAUUUUCUUUAAUUCUUAAAAAUAAUUUAAGUUAGAAUAUCCCCAUGGGACUAAUGAUUACUGUAUUUAGACCAAUAUGUGUUGGGAGAGUUUCAACAAGUCUUAAUAAAUCAAAUGAGUUCAUAUUAAAUUGCAACUGAUUUAUUUGCUUUUUUCCCCCCUGAAAUCUGAAGGUAAUAUAAGAAACUGAAUAGUUUGGAAACGAUUGUACAGACUAUUGUUUCUCCGAGAGCUUCUGUUAAUCUGCUGUUUGUAGUCAGCAUAUCCUUGUGAUUCUCUUGCUGUUAAUAAGUACCAGGUAUUGGUGGCACGUCCGCCUGCACCCCUCAUUGUCCCUCGCCUCAUAGCUCACUCAGUCUCAUCAUUCUCCAGCUUCACUGAUUCUGACUUUGUAAAAUUCAGGUUGUCCUUAGUCUUCCUCCACUUUGGCACAGCCUUGCCCUGGGAGAUGAGCAAGACUGGAGACCAAGGCCAGACCUGAUUCCAAUCCUGGUUUUGGACUGUCCAAAUCAGCUUUCAUGUCUUUAACUUUUAUUCUGAAAUAAUUUUAGAUUCACAAAAAUGUUCCAAAUAGCAUAAUGGUACAAAGAAUCCUGGAGUAUGUUCUUCACCAGAUUCCCAUGUGUUCACGUGGUUAAUAUUUUACCACCUUUGCUUUAGUCUCUCCUCCCUUUCUGUAUACCAAUAUCUACAUCUAUAUCUGUAUUUAUAUCUAUUAUCCAUCUCUGUGUGUGUAUAUGUGUGUGUGGGUGUAUACACUCUCUGUAUGUGUAUAUAUAUACACACAUAUACAUAUAUAUUGGUGUGUGUAUACAUACAUAUACACAUAUACAUACAUAUGUAUGUAUGUAUACCUUCCCUAAAAACAGGGACAUUCUUUUAUGUAACUAUAGUAUAGUUAUCAAAUUCAUAAAAUUAACAUGAAUAAAAUACUAUUAUCCAAUAUAGAGACCUCAUUCAAUUUUUUUCUAGUUGUUUCAAUAAUGUCCUUUAUAAUAAUAACAACGAAAAGCCUCUGAUCUGGUAUCCAACCCAGGAUCACAGGCUGCAUCUCUUUUCUUAUCUCAUUACUCUCCUUUAAUCUACAACAGUUCUACAGUCUUUCUUUGCAUUUCCUUGGUCUUGGACAUUUCUGAAGAGCACCAGUCAGCUGUUUUCUAGAAUUUCCCUCAAUUCGUGUCUGUCUGAUAUUUCCUCAUGAUUGGAUUUAGCUUAUACAUUUUUGGCAAGAGUAUCACGGAAGCGAUGUUGUGUCCUCAGCGCGUCAUAUACAGAAGCACAUGAUACCAACUUUUCAUCUGUGAUUACUUGCUGAAGGUGGUAUCUGUCAAGUUUCUCCAUGAUAAAGUUACUAUAAAUUUGUAAUUACUAAGAAUAUUUGGUGAUAUAUUUUGACACCAAAUACCCUGUUUCCCAAUCAUACUUUUGCUCAUUAGUUUAAAUAUCUAUUUAUCAUUCUUGUUUGAAACAGUUGUUACUAUUGUGGUUGCCAAAAUGCCAACUGUGUAAUUACAUCAUUCUUUAUGUAGUUGGCAUUUAUUUGUGGACAUUCUAUUUUAAGGAAUACUUUUUUUCUUUUAUGGGGGGGAAGAUCUUUUAUCUAUCUAUCCAUCUAUCCAUCUAUCUAUCUUCAUCAUUUACUUAUCUGUAUUGCACAUCUAUGUUCCAGGCUCAUCUUGUACUUUUUUUGUGUACCAGCUCUGGAAUAAUUCAUUUCUUCAAGGACCAGCUUUCAUUUUGAUGAUCGAUGUUGGUUGAGUGCAUAGGAGACAAGAGCCAAUGUAACAAGCUGGGGCCCUAUAAGGCAACUUAAUGUAUGAAUGAACUAGAAAUAUACUCUGCCUUACUCUACUAUUCCUCCUAGUAAUAGCAAGGAAUAGCUUGCUUGCCAGCAUUGGGUUGAGGGAGAAAAUUUUCUCUUGAGAAUUCUUAACCACAGGCUGGCAUUAACUCAUAUUUGUAACCCAAAUUUACACUACCUGCAUGAUUCUAAAUACCUUUAGGUUAGAAUUUGUUUUUAAACAGUUCUAGAUUGGUGAUGAUUCCAGAUAUUUGGAAGAAGCAAACAUAAAUUUUCUUUGGUGAAAUGCAGUCACAACACAAACCUCAGAGUUUUCCAUGAAUAAAGUUCUGAGGAAUGUAGGCUCAGAGUCAAAGUCAAAAAGCAUUUAAGGAGACAAGGCACUAUACGCAAAAGUCAGCAGGAACAACAAACCACAGAAUCAGGCCAGCAAAGCUUUUAGAUAUGGGAAUUAUUGGAUAUAAAAUGCAAAUUAAACAUGUUUAAUAUAUUUAAAGAAAGAAAACUGGUAAGGUACAGCGCUUAUGAAAGAUAAACAGGCAUACUUGAAAACCAACAAAAAAUAACUUUUAAUAAAAGACGAAUGUAAAAACUGAAAUUAAAAAACCUCAAAUGAGGAUUUAAAGAGAAAAUUAGAUGUAGGUGAAAUGCUGAUGAACAGGAAUGAAGAAAUGAUCUGAAGAAAUGAUCUAGAAUGCCUAACAGAGAGACAAAGAGGUAGAAAAUAUGAAAUACAGGUUAAGAGAUAUGGAGGAUGGGCUGGGAAGGUGUAACAUAGGUCUAAGCCCAGAAGGAAAGGAGAGAGAAAGGAAGAAAGGCAAUUUUUGAAGGCAUAAUGGCUGAAAACGAUUCAUAUUGAUGAAUACACAGACUCAUACUUUUAGAUUCAGGAAGCCCAAUAAAUUUAUAGCAAUAGGAACAAAAAUUGUCCUUAGACAAAUAGCAGUGAAACUGGGAAAUACAAAAUACUAUGGACAGCAGCUGAUAUUCCCAGCAACCGGGGGUGGGUAUGUUAUUUGUCAGCCUUGAAGAGGGGAUCUGGGCAGAGUAUCCUACUGUCCACUACACAUUUUCAUAAUGUUAAGAAACACAAGGUUAAAAAUGUAUUUAUAGUAUUAUUUCGAUAUUUUACUUUUUAUUAUUUUUUAAAGUAGGCUCCAUACCCAGUGUAGGACUCAAACUCAUGACACUGAGAUUGAGAGUCGCCAUGCUCUACCGACUGAGCCAGCCAGUUGCCCCUGAUUUCAAUAUUUUAAAAUGGGCAUAUGUAUUAAAAAAAAGGACUGAGAGGGGUUAAAGUAAGAUGUUUAAGAGGCUUUGCGUUGGUGUUGAAAUAACGGAUAACUUUCAUUUUCUCCCAACCUGUAUCUUUUAAACACACACACACACACACACACACACACACACACACACACACAUCUUAGGUAGUUUAUGGACUACAUAAAGCCACACCACUGAUUCCUCUCUAUGAGCUGUUCAAGUCAGUCAGAAAGUGAAUGUCAGUGUCCUUCAGUAGGUGAAUGGAUAAACAUCCAGUGGAAUAUUACUCAGCAGUGAAAAGAUGAGCUAUCAAACAUUGAAAAGACUUAGAAGAAGCUUAAAUGCAUAUUGCUAAGGGAAAGAAACCAAUCUGAAAAGUCUACACACUGUAUGAUUCCAGCUAUAUGGUAUUCUGGAAAAGACAUAACUAUGGAGACAGUAUAACUAUCAGAGGUUUCCAGGGAUUCAAGGGGAGAGAGGAGGCAGGAUGAACAGGUGAUGGAACUAUUCGGCAUGAUACUGUGUGAUGCAUGGUGGAUACAUGUGCAUUUGUAACACAAAGAGUAACUCAGAUGUAAACUAUGGACUCUUAAUAUUGACUUAUCAAUUAUAACAAAUGUACCACACUAAUGCAAGAUGUUAAUAAUAGGGAGAACUAUGUACAGGGAAGAGGGGAUAUGUGGGAAUUCUCCACAUUAUCUGGUCGGUUUUCCUGUAAACCUAAAACUCUUCUAAAAAACCAAAAUCUUUUGAUUAAAAAAAAAAAAGAAAAAAGAAAGUGAGGAUCAGUUUCUGUUCUAGAGGCAACAACAUUAGCAGUAGUUGGGACUGAAUUUAAUAGAUGGUGUGCUCAGCAAGCCAAGGUGAGGAGAUCUCCUUACCAUGGGCUCACCAAAGCCCCUUUCAGGUAGUUGUGAAGUAUCAGAAGAUAAAUCUACAAAUAAACAGCUGCUUUAUUGACAGAUGCAUUAAUGAAGAUCACAACAUCUUGACUGCUGAUUCUGGAUCCUUGCUGUUUCCUCAAUGAGCCAUUACACAACUGUUGGGUCUUGCUCUAUGCAUUUGUAGAAUGGCAAGGGAAUCUGGUCCUGAGACAGGACAUCUGAUAAACAAACGAGGCAAAUUGGAGUGGAUUGUUUUGGUGACUGCCAGGGCUGGCGCCUUUUUUUUUUUUUUUCCUUCUGGCACCUACCCUAACUUCCUGGCAUCUAUUCUUAUUUUUCCUCCCAGACCAACUGCAAAAAAGGACUUGACCUCAACUGACAUAGCAUGUGGAAGAAUGUGUAUGCAUUGAAAAGCAAUCCAGUAAGCUGACGAAGUUAAUGAAUUUUUAUAGGAAUUCAUUCAAUACCACCCAGUGAGAGUCCAUGCUUUGGAUAUUUGCUCAAAGGCAAUGGGGAAAUGAGAACUUGCUUAUUACCUCUGGUUCUUGAAAGAAAACGUUGUCUCAGAUACAGCUUCCAUUCCUAUUGUUGAUUUUCAUAAACAUUUGGACAUGUUGAGAUUCUUCAUUUAUAUGUUUGUUCAUUUAACUAACAUUGGUUAACUACCAUGUGACAGGCACCAAUUGUGUAGAAUUGUUACUGGAGAGGCUACACCAAUAUAUGUUCUAGUAUAGUGCCCGAGUGUGGAGGUGAGAGAUCCCUUUUUCUUUUCCUCCUUACCCUCACCUUGACAACUCCUGCCCUUCCAUUUUUCUCUCUACCCCCCCUUUUUUUUUUGCUUUUUCCUAGGAGUUGAGAAUUGUCUAAUUGGUAAGAUUAAAUGAAGCUUCAAGUCACAGGAUAGUGCUUCUAAGGGCACAGUCACUAUUAAUUAGAAGUACUUCUCUUGUAUUCUCUUUUAAAUCUAUUUUCCUAUGCAGUAGAGAUAGAAAUUUCAUCUUCUCUCCCCAGUUAGAUAGCUCUUUAUUAAAGAAUUAGUCCUUGGAUAUUCUACCAUUAUCAUAAACAAACUUCCAUAUAUUUACAGGUCUGUUUCUGAAAAUUGUUCUGUUGUAUUACCAUAUACUGGCUAUAUUGUCCAUUUACUUUUCUAAUUAAAACUUAAAAUUUUUUUAAUGUUUAUUUAUUUUUGAGAGAGAGAGACAGAGAGAGAGAGACAGACAGAGAGAGAGAGAGCGCACAAGCCAGGGGAGGAGCAGAGAGAGAGGGAGAGACAAAGCAGGCUCCAAGGCUCUGAGCUGUCAGCACAGUGCCUCAUGUAGGGCUCAAACUCACGGACUGUGAGAUCAUGACCUGAGCCGAAGUCAGAUAUUUAACCAACUGAGCCACCCAGGCACCCCUCUAAUUAAAACUUAGAAUCUGCAUUUGAAAUUACUUCAAAAUCUUGCUAGGUGAUUUAUUGGCCUUCAUUUAGAUUUGUAGAUUAUUUGUGGGAGAACUUAAUGUCGUUUCAGUGUUAAGUUUUCCCAUUCAGGAAUGCAGUACCACUCUCCAUCUAGUAAGGAGAGUUCAUAAAAUUUUAUACUUGUCUUCCUAUAGGUUUUGUACAUUUUUUGGUAGGUUUGUUUCUAAUUAAUUUAUAUAUUUAUAUAAUUUACAUAUAGAAUAUAACUAUAUAAUAUAAUUAUAUAGAAUUUAUAUAUAAUUUAAUAAUAUAAACAUGUAAGAUUGAUGUAUUUUUUCUAUUCUGAAUGGAUAGUUUUCUAACUGGUCACAGUCAGUGAUGGUGCUGAUCAUUUACCUGGCCAGCUUACCGGCCUCUUUUAUUAGUUGUAAUAAGUUUUAAGUUGAUUCUCAUGGAAUUUUCAGGUAGUCAGUUAUGUUGUCCGAAAAUAAUGACAGUUUUUUACUUCCUGAUAUUUAUAAUUGCUUUUUAAUUUUGUUUUUGUUACUGCAUUGGCUAGAACCAAAGGUGAACAAUAAUGGUGAUGGUUAGAAUCUUUUCUUGUUUUUUAUUGUGGAGGGAAUACUCCUAGCAUUCAACAGUAAGUAUGUUUGGAGGAUACCUUUUUAUCAGGUUAAGGAAGCUUUUUUUUUUCUUCCCCUAUUCCUAACUUGCUAAGGAAAUUAAAGUCAUUUUUAAAAAUCAAUUACCAUUUCCUAUUAAUUAAAAGCAAGAAAAUAUAUCCUGCACAUAGUGCUGGACAGGAUCUCUUCUUGUUUUUACUAAUGGUUCAAAAUUAAAUAAAGAUAAUUAUCUUUUAGGAACCUCCUAAAAACAAAUAUUGAAAAGCCUAUAAAAACAGAGUUAAUGGCAAUGCAAGCUGGUGCAGCCACUCUGGAAAACAGAGUGGAGGUUCCUCACAAAAUUACAAAUAGAACUACCCUACAACCCAGCAAUUGCACUACUAGGUAUUUAUCCAAGGGAUACAGGUGUGCUGUUUCGAAGGGGCACAUGCACCCCAAUGUUUAUAGCAGCAAUAUCAACAAUAGCCAAAGUAUGGAAAGAGUCCAAAUGUCCAUCGAUGGAUGAAUGGCUAAAGAAAAUGUGGUACACACACACACACACACACACACACACACACACACACACACACACAAUGGAGUAUUACUCGGCAAUCAAAAAGAAUGAAAUCUUGCCAUUUGCAACUACGUGGAUGGAACUGGAGGGAAUUAUGCCAAGUGAAAUUAGUCAGGGAAAGACAAAAAUCAUAUGACUUCACUCAUAUGAGGGCUUUAAGAGACAAAAAACAGGUGAACAUAAGGGAAGGGAAACAAAAAUAAUAUAAAAACAUGGAGGUGACAAAACAUAAGAGACUCAUAAAUAUAGAGAACAAACUGAGGGUUACUGGAGGGGUUGUGGGGGGGGUGGGGUAAGUGGGUAAGGGGCAUUAAGGAAUCUACUCCUGAAAUCAUUGUUUCACUAUAUGCUAAUUUGGAUGUAAAUUUAAAAAAAUAAAAAAAAUUAAAAAAAAACAGUUAAACAUCAAAAUGCUAUAAGAAACAACAGUCUCAGCAAGUAACAUAGGGAGUGGGAGGGGCCUAUUCAGAGUGAGCAUUCACUUUGGUAGCUUUGGGGGCUCUUGGAAAUGUCUGACAAGGGUCGGGUUGGAAUCAAAUUCUCCUGGAGCUCUGCAGGUCAUAUUCCUCAUAGCAGUGAUUACAUCAUUGGAGGAGAUACAAACGUAAAUGGGUCUGAAAGUCUGUUCAGCCUUAAUGAAACACAGGAAGCAAAAGCACAGAAAUGGAACAUAUGUUACACAGACACUGACCAUGUGUCCGUGUGAGCACCUAGAGGUGAUCACCACACCCAGGUCUGCACAGAGAGGGGAGAAGGCAGUCAACAGAGGCAUUAGAAGGGAGUAUUUGUAGCAAAAAACUACAUGCUUGUUUGAAGCAGGAAAGAAAAUUAUCUUCCUAAAGAGAUGACUUAAACUCACACUACUCCCCUUAAGGAUGGAUUUAUUCACCUGAGGUUUUAUAGGACCAUUUGAAAGGAAAGGAAUUGAACAGGGUCUGUCUGCACUUUCACUUUGCUCAAGGUCAUCAGAUGUCAGUAUUGUUCUCAGCCGGGGCGUGCUCAACAGUACGGUUAUUGCUGCCAGAAAAAUAGUCCCUUGGUUCUUUGUUUAUUUGUUUGUUUGUUUUAACUUUUACUUGAGAGAGACAGAGGCUGCAUGAGUGGGGCAGGAGCAGAGAGAGAGAGGGAGAGAGAGAAUCGCAAGUAGGCUCCAUGUUGUCCGCACAGAGCCUGUGGAGGGGCUUGAACUAAAGAAAUGUGAGAUCAUGACCUGAGCCAAAAACCAAGAGUCAGGACACUUAACUGACUGAGCCACCAAGGUGCCCUGGUUUUUUGUUAUAUGCUAGUGACUAUAUUACCAUGCCUGAUGUUUUUAGCCAGCAGGACAUGUAGCUGAGCUAACCUCCCAAGCCCUAGUUUAUCUGCACCCUACUUAAUUCCAGUUGUUGAAUUGCCAGAAAUUAUGCAGUCUCAUUCACUACUUCCUCCUUCUUGCCUCUCUUGCCUGGAUUGGCUCCUCUCACCUUCCUAGCUCCUGCUGUCUUUCCUUCCACCCUUUGGAGCCUGACCUUUGAAUACCGCUGUGGGCCACCCGCGGCAGAGACAGGUUGCUUCCCUUUUGGAAUCCACCCCAGCUGGGGAGAAGCCCUUUCCUCCAAGUUCAGAUGAAUGUCAGUGCUUCUGCAUCACCGUAUCUAUGAAACACUCUUUCCAUUCAUGUGGAAUAUUUAUCUGUUUCUAUAAGAUCUUGGUUGAAAAUGAAGAUUAUCAUUAAUUUUGAGCCAGUCUCUUAGAGAAUCUAUAGGUGUCCUGUAAUACUUUCAAGAGUAAAACUAAGCAAAAAGACAGGUGGUCUGUAUCCUGCAAAGUUAGGGUGUGCCUCAGAGGGAGGGGGAAGUUAAAAUGUUUGUAUUUUUUAAAAAAUGUGAUAGAGGGUUGUAAUUCUCCCAUGGCUCUUGAGGGUGCAUUUUUGAAAGGGACUAGUGAUGGGUGGCUGAGAGAUGGCCUGUCUUAUGACUUCUCUUUCAGAAGAAAAUUAAUGUUAAUUAAUGUUUUCUGUACUCUUAGCACUCAUACCCCACAUUUCUUGUACUUUAAAAAAGUUUUGUAGGGCACCUAGGUGGCUCAGUCAGUUAAGCAUCUGACUCUUGAUUUCGGCUCAGGUCAUGAUCUCACAGUUCAUGGGUUCGAGCCCCGCAUCCUGCUCUCUGCUGUCAGCACAGAGCCCCCUUCAGAUCCUUUGGACCCCCAGCCCCUCCCCCACUGGUUCUCUCUCUCUCUCUCUCUCUCUCUCUCUCACUCUCUCUCUCUCUCUCUCUCAAAAAUAAUAAAUAAACUUUAAAAUGUUUUGCAAGAAUGCAAACCACUUCACUACACAAAGGAAAAUGUCUUUUACGAGUUGUAUUUAUUUUAAUGUUUAUAAGCCACUAGCAACUAAAGAUGCCAGCUAAGGUACACAGAACUUUGUUUUGAGCUCUCAAGUGACUUAGGCAGAGCUUUGUUAGCUGUUGCCUUGUAAGUACAUUGUGAGAUUAUAUUUAAAACUAAAUAAAGGAGGUGUUGCACAGUUUCGAACCCCAACAAUUAAAAUGGUCCCAUUUUUAGUAGCGAUGGGAGAAUCUAUGUAACUGACUAUUUGAAUGUUACAUAAAAAGGGGAGGAAUCAGAGAUUACUUCUAAUUUGUUUAGGUAUAAAUUUGAUGAGGAUGUGGUGGUUCAAGCCAACAUAAUACAGUUGUAAUCAGAAUAAAAUAACAAAACAAUUGUAAUCAGAGUAAACUCAUCUGUUUUGCGGAUACCAACUCUAUAGCUUUACCCAGUGCUUGGUAAUUGUAAGCACUUAGACCUUGUUUGUAAUGUAUUUAGAGGGACAAAGUGUUGUAUUGGUUGUUCUAUACCUAAAUGAGACUCCAGAGAAGCAUACAUUUAUCUGAGGGCAGAACAUUGGAUUUAGUGAUGGAAAAUUGUAGAUCUGCUCAAGUUCACAGUACCUGAUCGAUGACCUUAUUUCUGUUGUUUAUUCGACUUAAUGCAUUGGAGCAUUACUCAGGGUAGUUGAAGCGAUUUCAUGAGAAAGUUGGUCAGUAAUAUGCAGGAUUUAAAAAUUCCUCAUAUGAUACAGUAAAUAUUUUUUCCACUUCUAGUACUUUCUUCAUUUUAUUUGUUACACUUAAAUUAAAUACAGCUGAAGUUAAUUUUGGUGUAAGGAGUGAAGUAGAGCUCCAAGUUUUCUUUUUCCUUCCAAAUUGCUAGCCGGUUAUCUCAAAACCAUUUAAUGAUUAAGAAUGUAAUUUAAAAAUGUGCAUGUGCCCGAAAAGCUAUUAAAAAGUAAAUACUAUUGCAAUCUUGGAAAAAAAUGUGGCAUGGGUUUCUGUUUGCAGAUGGUUUUAUUCCCAUUAAGAUGAAUUCAGGGUUGAAGGAAGACUUGUAAAAGAAACAAAUUCAGGAACUAGUAAGAGACACUCUUACCUACACAAAAAUUUCAGUGAAGGAGCCGGAUUGAAGAUGCUAGGAAUCAAGUGGUUUGUAUCAGAAUUGCAGAUAUAAUAAAAAUAUUUUGAGAUGUAUACGGAAGGAAAGGUACUUACUGCAGCACUGGCUGUAAUGCUGCCUGGUUUCUUGAGCAGCUGCAAACCUCUGGAGUCCUUGCUGUGAGAAUCAAAUCAGUCAUGGCCCCAAAUCUUGUUCCAGGCAGCCAGAAACAAUCCUGACUGGUCCACUACGUUUUUUUUUCUGUGUGCUUCUCCGUCUCGACUUUUUACUUUAUAUUUUCAUUUAGCUUGGAUUCCAUUUAAAAUUUUAAAACUGUUACUAGAAAUAAAGAAUAUUUUAGGGGUGCCUGGGUGGCUCAGUCAGUUAAAUGUCCAACUUCAGGUCACGAUCUCACAGUUUGUGAGUUCGAGCCCCAUGCUGGGCUCUCUGCUGUCAGGACAGAGCCCUCUUUGGAUCCUCUGUUCUCCUCUCUCUCUGCCCCUCCCCUCUCGGCCUCUCUCCCUCUCUCUCAAAAAUAAGUAAACAUUAAAAAAAAAAGAAAUAAAGAAUAUUUUGAAUGUUGGACAGCUAAGGAAAAAAAUGACAAUAAUCAUGACAGUAAAGAACUUACUGGAAAUCUAAUAAUGAUUUCAGAAAUAUAAUUUGCAUAACAACAGUUGUUUUAUUAUCAUCAAGAUGUUAAGUAGUUGAACAGUCUACACUUUAUUUUUAUAACAAAGAGACAAAUAACCAGUAAAAGAGAUGAUUUUAGUAUUUUAUUGUUAUUAUUUUUUUUUAAAAGCAACUUCCAGAGUUUGUCAUUGUGCAGGGUUAGCCCAGUCUCUUAUAGCAUAGUACAGUGAUAACUCAUUUUUUAUAACAAUGACUCACUGGAGAUCCAUAACUGUGUUCUGAAUUAUCACAGAAAGGAGAAAGAAUUAGAGGAAGAGUUUAAUGUUAAGUGUAUUUAAAAAAAUCAUAUUCUAAUUGUUUUAAAUUGGUUAUCCAAGUAUGAUAAUAUAGUAGAGCUCAGAUAACUAGAAAAGGCAAUUGACUAGAACACCUCAUUCCCAUCUUGUGUGCAUUAACAGGUGUUUCACUGCAUAUAUCUUUAUAUAGUUUGCAAGCUAAUUCAACCCAUUUUACACAGCAUUAAUUGUUUUUAUUGAGUUGGCAUUGGGCUGAAACUUGCUCACUAUCUCAUAAUAAUUAUUAUUUUUUUCCUAGUUCUUUGAUAGGUUUUUUCUCAUCUGACAGUGUUUGGACUCUAGUGUUUAUGAGACAUUAAAAUCAUCUCUGCCCAUUUUAGUGAUAUUUACAAUGAAGUUACCCAUGGCCAGAUAUCCAAGACUAUUAAUUAAUUUGUCCACCAGCUCUGUUCUUGAUCUUGGUAAAACAGAGAACUUUUCCAGUCUCACUGGAAUACAUGCAAAGCUCCAGGCCAGAAACUGCUUGUGAGCUGGUCUUCAAAAGAGGGGACCACGAAACUCAAGGUCCUUAUUAAUGCUGUGCAAACAAGGGUCUCGUCAUUUCGGUAACUAUUUGUACAUUUCAAAAAGCAAUACAGUCAUGGGAAAAACCAACAAGCACAGCUUGGUAGAAUAACCUGCCAUGAAAUAUCAUUGGCUUUAUAAUAAUUUACUACAACUGUUCUUUUUUAUUCACACUGGAUAGGAAAUGCUUCCAUCUAACACAUGGAAUACGAAUAUAUACAACAAAAAGUUGGCUUUUAUUAAAAAAAAACUUCACAAGGACAAUAACAUGGGGGUUGAAACAAUAGUUUUGUGCAGUUUCCUGAUCACAAUCAUAUGUCUGCUGCCUUUGACAGGGAAUGAUACAAGUACUGAUAGAUUUUAUAAACCAGUUAAAGAAUUUUCUUGUCUGAUCACAAUCAUAUGUCUGCUGCCUUUGACAGGGAAUGAUACAAGUACUGAUAGAUUUUAUAAACCAGUUAAAGAAUUUUCUUGUCUGUACUAGCCUACUAUUGCCUUGUUCAUACAGUCUAGAAGUUUCACCUUCUUAACUGUAAUUCUAAAUGAGUAGGGAUGACAUGAUGAGUCAGUUUGAAGGACAAACCCUGCUAAUCCUCUUCAAAAUCAUCAUAUAUUUGCAGUUCCCUAUUCAUCAAAAAGUUCACCAAAACAUUGUGGAAACCGCACAGGGCUUCUGACUGAUGUGCUGUUGAGAUCCUGAAUGAUGCCCGCCAUCUUGUUGUAUGACGUCAGCAUCUUGGCUUGAACUUUCUUAUGGCCGCAGUGAGUCCUGGGGCUAGUGGUGAGGGGUGGACCGUUUUGUACUGCCAGCAGUCAAAACAGUUGCCAUGGGCUCAACGUCUCUACGCUGUGAGCCUGGGGAACCCAUUCUCCUAUGGAAUGGUUUUCUGGAGUCCAGCAAUGUCACUGCAAGUGGCUGAGACAUUCUGGCCCCUGCUUCAUGAGGGACUAUACUAAAGAAGAAGCCUAGUGUUCUAAAAAUAGAUAAUAUAGGCCAGGUUGAGGGGGUGGCAAAGGGAGGUUGCUUUCAUAAGUCCUGGAAACCAUAUCUGAUUUUCGCUCUAGACAAUGGCUGGGAGAUUCUUUGAAAGUGGCAGGUCAGGAGAAGGGCUGGUCUGAAGUACACUUGGAGAAGUGUCAGUUUGGCAUUGGCACUGCAGAUUUAGUGCGUAUGGCCCCCCAAUAAGGCACUCUGCCUAGAUCUAUUUUCCCCCGACUGUACCUUUGCUGCCCAAGAGUUCCCCAUUUCUCCAUGCAAUUCCUGUUCGUUUCUGAUUUCUAAAGCAGGGAUGGAAAAUAGGGCUCAUCUCUCUCUCAAUUCUGACUGAUGAAUGGAGGCUCUUUGUAGUUGUGAUCUGAGGACUGUUGAAGAAAUUGUUGGGCUUCAUGGAUAGUGCUGUGAUUGAUAAGUAAUGUCUGCCAUAUCUACAAUGUCUACAAGAACUGGUGUUUAUGGAAUGCCUACCAGGUCCUUAUGUCUCUAAGUACGGUCCAAGAAUCAGGCUGGCUUAAUGGGGUCUUAAAGGAUCUUUGGAGACCAUAACCCAAAGUGCUAGGUUUAUAUUUAUUUUAUAUGCUGCUUUGUUCCAGAAAAGAUUUAAGUCUUUGAGCACUUUGGGAGAGGAAUUUUAAGACCUGUGGGAAGCUGGAGGGGAAGAUAAUUUUGAAUAGGAUGGUAUAGGAGGUGCUCAACAAUGGCCCUCUGUUUUUACCCUGGUUGAUGAAGCCCAAUGUUUAGAAAGUGAUUAUAGGGUUUACUGAUGACAACAGAUUCAGAAAGACUUGGAGGAAUGGGGUGGAUCCCAGGCCUGGUGGGAAUUUCAGGCAGAACAUCUAGUGUAUUCCUCCUGGGUUGAUAGCUGAUAUUUAUGAGAAUGUUGAAAAGCCAAGGAGAAAUAUAUUUACAUCUACACAUACAUGACUUUUUUUGUGGUUAAUUAAAGCAUGUGGGGAUGGUUUCCAUAUUAUGUUAGGACCCUUGUCUCUCAGCUGGAAUAGAAGUCUCUGGUACACAACUUUACCAAAAAAGAAAGAAAAAAAAAA
rnacentral:lncRNA from 1 species